UAUUCUUUAGUGCACUGAAGAUCAAUGGAAAACGCAAAUCAGCAAAGGCCUGCAAUCAUGGUAUUUCAUUCAAGUCUGUAGCAUUGUGAUCAGGUCUGCAGUUAUGGUAUUCCACUCAGGUUUGUGGCCUUGAGAUCAUUGUCGUGUCUUGGUAACCAUCAUGAUGUACAGCCCCGGAGAUGUCAGCCGACAAUACCAGCAUCCAUUGGAAAUCUGCAACUAUGUAUCAGCACCUUGUGCACGUGCAUGCCUGUAAGACAACUAACUCAUGGGCUUCUUACCUGUUGUUCCUGAUCGUUCUUCCUUGGACUUCAGUUUGGAAUAUUGACGGCCUAACAAAUCAAAAGCAUUUCAAUCCAUCUCAUCAAUCAGCUUAUGUGCUAGCUCAGAGCGCCCAACCUUUUCAGGUCACUGAUCAGUGGACGGUGGAUAUAUAAAUCAAAGGCUAGUGUAACUUACACGAACUUGGACUCGGGCAUCGCCUUGAGGUCAUGGUGGACACCGUCUGGUCCAGUCUGAUCCCUGACCAAGCCGUUGUUUGGAUCGGCAGGAGGGCUAUGUGAGAGAGUGAUGUGAGGAAGCGGACGACGUGCGCGAGUGCCAACGUGCCUGACAAAUUAACUGACAACUGAAACUUUGAUGAAACUGAUGAACUGAAUUUUCUGAAUCUGAUGAAACUAAAUCUGACGAAACUGAUGAAACUGAAACUGUCGAAUCUGAGGGAACUUCAGGACAGCAUAGGUGGCACCGUAGUGGCCUCGUGCGAAGGCUGCUGCAGCCUCAGAUGGAGCGCGCGAGGGAGGGGCAGCCGAGUUGGUCGUCAUCCCUUGUCAUGGAUCAUUGGAGCUGCGGGUCGCAGGUGGCGGAAGAGCAUAUCCGGGGCUGGGAGGAGUAGCCGCGGGUCACCGCAUAUAGGGCGCGUUAAUCCUGUACGGGCAGCCAGCAUACCCAAUCAGGAUUAAGUCACGAACCCGCAAUCCUGAUGAAGUCAGAUCUCUCGAUAAUAGGCUGCCCGGUGUGAUGCAAAUACUAGCAGUAUGUGUACUUCUUAAAUUAAGCGAAGCAAGUUCAUACAAUAAUUAGAAGGUUCAGUACACUUUUCUGUUUCAAAUUGUUUUUCUUGUGAUGCGGCAAAGAAAUUCUCCUACAGUUGCAAAAAUCAUUAUUCAUAGUUUAAUAGUAAUAAUGUCCAGGCAGGCACAAAUUUAUUGCUAAAUGUCCGUGCCAACUAUGACAUUAGAGGUCUCCCGUUGUAUCUGGAGUAGUGAAUCCGAAACUUUUUGUUCUACUGAACCUAUAUAAAUCUCAGAUUCUCAAUCCAAGAGCUUAUAACUCUUCUCCUCGACAUCAGUAAUGCCCAUUUGUAUCUCAAUUAUGGUAUGGAGUGAAAUCUAGGGUAAAAUAGAAAUGAUUGAAUAGGCUUAGCAAUGCUUUUGCAAGUUUAAAACACAACUUUCAGUGAUGGGAGAAGAUCAAAAUUUCAUGUUACCUACAUGUUCAGUAAAACAUGAGUACAUUGCUUGCAAUACGGCCUAUAAGCAAGUUACCUGGUGGGGUAUAACAACCACUGCUGCUCGCUAGAGUCUGACCGUAACGAUGUAUUCAUAUGUAAAUAUAUAUUCAAUAAAUAUGUAAAGCCCAAAUCUGUAUUUUAUCAAUUUAUUGAAGCUAUAACUUUUAUAUUUUAACAUGACAUGAUUAAUAUAGAAAACUAUGUAGGUUUGCAGCAUGAUAAUUAUCAAAAUGACUUUGUAUAUAAACUACCAAUAAGAUAUUCCAAGUUGUUUCGAAAAUAACAGAGAAAUGUUACUACAUACCCAUACUCCUCAGGCAUAUUUUUCUGUUGUUAUUCAUACGUCAUUGCAUCACACACACACACACACCAGAAUUGAUUGCAUCAAGUGUACUCCAUUGCAUCUACCAACAUUACACUACUAGGGAAAACGUUAUACACAGAAUCUUAGCAGCAGUGCGGUUUAAAAACGGGCGCUACUCCUAACUAGCAGUAGCGAGCUUAAAGGAACCGCGCUACUAAUAAGUUGAUAGUAGUAGAGCGGUUUUAUAACCCUCACUACUACUAAGUGAUUUUCACCGUGCCCCUCCGGACCAGCCAUAGUAGUAGCGCGGGUUAUAAACCCACGCUACAACUAAGUUGAUAGUAGCAGCGCGGGUUAUAAAUCCCACGCUAUUACUAAAUGGUCUCAAUCGUGCACCCACCAUAGUAGUAGCAUUGGAUUAGCGUGGGGGUAUAAACCCAACGCUACUGUUAAGUUAUCUCCUUGCCGCCCCACCUCAGCCUCUCACCCUUGCUCUGCCUUUCUCUCCCACGACGCCUCUCCUCGUCCUCCACUCCCCAUGUUUCCCCCAACCAACCCCGCCGCCACCACCGACGCCGACGACCUCCUCUCCCCCAACACUACCACCGGCGCCCCCACCUCACGUGCGGAUCCUCCUCCUCGCCAUGCCCUUGUGCCGGCCCCAAACCCUAGCUAGGGGCCCCCUUCUCCGGGUGCGGCGCGGCGCGGGGAGGGCUCCCUCUUGCCCGCCGCCGAUGCAAACGGCCCGCCGGUGCUCCUACUACUUGCUCCUCCAACCCUCCUCCUUCUGCUGCUAGUGCGGACCGACACCAUGGAGGUGAGGUUCCCCAUUAUCCUCUCUUUCUCUUCACCAUAGGCAGCCCCUGACCCCCUUGGAUUCGAUUUGGCAGGCCGUGUGCAAGCGGGGAAGGACAGCAUGGUGCGCCUAGUGCGCGAGCUUGAGGGCGCCGGCCUGCUCGUCGAGCGCGUCCGCGGCGUCCCCGCCGAGUUCAUCAAGGUCAGUGCGGCCGCCUUUUUUCCUUUUUCAGUUCGUCUUGCCAUGGCAUCCUAAUUCCAACUAAUGAGGCGGUUUCCGUGAGAUUUUGUUACGAAGAGGACUUCCCCUGCGCCCUGUGUUGUUUAUCUAGACUAGAUUGUUGUAGUACCUUGAUUUUAGCAUUCAAUCCCUGUGACUAGUAAGUAGUGGAUAGUAGAAGAAUGUGUUCAUAAAUUCAGUGUAAGAAUGUCUACAGAAGAUACAGAGCAAGAGAUGGUAUCUUUCAUCAGAGUUUCCUCGUUAGAUGAAGAUUUUGUUCACCUGCUUAUCCUAGUUGACCUGCGUAGAUGCGUGAUUUACUGCUAACCUGCAUGUGAAAUCCAUGUUUUUGACUGAUUUUAGUUGGCCAAUGUUGAUAUUCUGCACGUGUAAGAGGAUCUCGUUCAUGUGAAGGGCUUCAGAUGGAUGUAUUCUUUUCUUCCUGCAUUAUAUUUCUUGCUCAUUGGUUGUUAGUGCUUAGGUUGUACUAGUAGCACCGGCAAAAGUACAAGAAGGGCUUCAGAUUUCUCAUUUGUGCAAAGAAUAAGUUCGGUCAAUCUAAUAAGUGAUUACACAACCAGGUUUACUUUACUCAAGUUCAGCUUUUGUCGCGCUACUGCACCGAGAUUUCCCCUUGACAAUUUUUUGUUGUAUCCUUGAUUAAUGCUGCAGGGAUUAAUUCCCACAUCUGUCUGAAGGUGUCCAUCAACGAACUUAGGUGAAAAGAUUGAGUUUUUUUUUGCACCGGUGAUGAGCUUCUAUGCGACGGAGGCUUGCGCCCAUGCUGUAUGUGAGCGAUGGAGGCAUUGGAUGUGGAGCAGCGGACCUGGAGUGUGGCCCAAGCGGCAGAUCUAGAGCGACGCUGGAGUAGCAGAGCGCCAGACCAGCGGAGCGGCGCUGUCGUCCUAAUGGUGCCCCCACCUUGGUAGCGCGGGCCCUGCCCCGCCACGGCGCCACGGCAUCGUCAUCCUCAUGGUAAUGUCCUUGUCGUCCAUCCAUCCAUCCAACACCGUAGUUGAUUUGUUAAUCUUGCACGUCUUUGUUAAUCUUCUUGUGAAGCUUCUGUAGCUUCUGUUACUCCAACUUCUGUAGCUUAGUCAUGAAUGUGCAGCUUCGCCAAGGCCAACCUUUGUUAGUCAUGAAUCAUCCUUUGAAAUAGCUUGUUGAUUUUCUGUAGCUUUGUUAAUCUUACAGUUCCCUUGCUACUACUGCUAACCUGUAACACUGGAUUUAGUGAAAUCAAGUUGUACUCCUAAUUCUGAAAUGAAGUUAUAAAUUUGUCUGAAAUGAAGUUGUAAAUUUGUAGCUACUACUACUAGCAUAUAACAACUUCUACUCCCAAUUCUGUAACUAAGCUACUGCUGCUAGCCCGUAAUAAUGGAUUAGACAAAAUUUGACUGAAAUGAAGUUGUCACACUGGAUUUGUCAAAAUUUAUCUGAAACGAAGCAUAUUUUCCGACCUCUAUUAAGUUUCAGUAAUAUUCAGUGGAGUAUGUAAUGUAAUAUUUGAACAUUACAGUAAUUUCAGUUGUUGUUAACUGUUGUAGCAUUAGGAGUAGUUUUACUGCAGCACAAGCAUUAUGAGUACUGUAAAUGGAUUAAAUGGAACCUCUCUUCAGUUAACUGAAACCUUUUUCAGUCAAUUUAACUGAAACCUUUUUCAGUUACUUCAAAUAAAACCUUUUUCUGUUAAUUUAAGUUAACAGAAACAUUUUCAGUUACUUUAAUUAAACAUGCAGUAUAGAGCUACUCAUUUGAUUCAUUUGAAGAGAGGAGUAAUUAUUUUUCCUUAACAGAAACUUCUCAUCUCUUUUCUUAUCUUCUCCUCUUUUCUCUUCUUCUCUUCUUCUCUUUGCUGCUGUUAAGUUAGGACUUGAAGAUGAUGAUUGUUGUUGCUAGAAAUCAUGAUUGUUUAGUUUAGUGUAGGACUUGCAAGCAGUAGUGCUUGCUUAGUUUAGUUUCCGUUAGAGUAAAAUAGGAUAGUUAGAGUAGCUUCAGUAGCUUAAAAUGGAGUACUCCAGUAGGUAAUGGAGAUCAAUGAACUUGCAGUAGAUCAAAAUGUUCAGUUAACUUGCAUUUGCUGUAAUUUUAGUAGUUUAGUCUUUGUUGUAAAACGGUUGCUGCUGUUGUCAUAUUCAUACUGUACUUUCCAAAGUUCGAUAGCACGUCGUCCUUAGCAUAAGUUGUUGAUCAAAGAAAUGGACUUAAAUUGAAGCAUUCCCAGGAGUUGCUGCUGUUGUUAUUGACCUGCUGCUGUUGUCAUUGACCUGAUGUUGCUUUUGUUGUAGGAGAAGUAGGAGCAUGCUCAGGAGAAGAACGAGUAGGAGAAGAAGGCCCUAGAUCGCUGCUACUGGAGCACUGAGGACCUGGGAUCUGUGACCUAGGCGUGCUGCUGGAUCCGCCUCCGGGUCGCUGCUGCUGGAGACGAAGGAGAAGCAGGGGACCUGGGCCCGGGAGCGCUAAGGAGAAGUAUGGUACCUAGGCAAGCAGAGGUGAAGCAGCCCUCUAGUGGCAAGGCAGGCACGAGGACGACAUCGAUCGAGGCUAGCUGGAGCUGAGGGCCAGGGAGAGGGACGUUAUGGUGUCGCAAGUCACGACGGCGGCUGCCGUCGGUCAGGUGCGGCUCAUUGAGGCUGCCCGAUGUGUAAUAGCAGUAGAGCUUACUUAGGUAGUUUCUUACCAAGUUAAUAGCAGUAGAGCUUACUUAGGUAGUUGCUUACCAAGUUGCUACGUACAACACUAUGUGAUUUGAAUUAUACAUGAGUUGCCGCUACAAUGAGGAAUUGUGUGAUGGAAUGGAAUUGGUUGAUUUUAUUUUUUUUAAUUCCUAAUAGGUUAGUAGUAGCGUGGGAAAAAACUGUGCGCUACUAGUAUUUAGGAUACUAGUAACGCUGGUAUUGUAGGCACGCUACUACUACUUCAUUAGUAGUAGCGUGAGUCUGUAAUAGCAGUAGCGUGGGUGGCACACGCUACUACUAACAAAGUUAGUAGUAGCGCGGGUUUCUCCCACGCUACUGCUAACUAUUAGUUGUAGCGCCUUAUUAGUAGCGCCGGUCCCCGCGCUGCUGAUACACCUAAAACUCGCGCUGCUGCUAGCCUUUUCCCUAGUAGUGUUAAUUGUGAUAUAUGUCAGUGUACAUAGAUAUCAAGAAAACUUACAAACUUUCAUAGAAAUAACUUCAGCAAUCUUAUAGUUGGAGUUGCUGUCAAAAUUAUUCUCCAUAGAUCACGUGCUAGUUAUUUUUCUUUCUUUUUUUGCCUAAAGCUCUCCAUCUUCACUACAUAAUUGUUACGUAGGUUGAAGUGGACCUUGUUAGAUCAAUACAAUAGGCUAAUUCCCAUAAGAGAAAUGAUUUUGCAGGAUACUUCGACAAAUAAGUUAAUGAAAUUUUGCAACCUGGUAAGCAAAAGAGGUAGGCGCAAGAUGAGAAUUCACAUGCAGUUGCAGAAUAAAUAUGAUGUGUCACCAAUUAAAUUGCUCUCGUCAGAUUUGUUAAUCAUAAUGGCAAUCUUGGGGGAAGAAGUAGAGGGCCCUGAAGCAGGUAGGACGACACGGUGGCAGACCAUGUGUGACGUAGCUUGUGGAACUGAAAUUUAAACCAGCAGCAGUUCAGGUUACAUGAGAAAACUGAAAAUAGUUAUUUACUAAGGUUUAGUCAAUAUAAGGAAAAGACUGGAAGAAAGCAUACUAUACCCGAUUCAUGGUACAUGUCUCUGAGUCCUUCAACAAUCCUAUAGCCCUGAUCCUUGUCCCUUUCUUUAGAAACACUGAAAUCCUCCUCAAACUUAGAAAUUCAGACUAUACUGCUUAGCUGCAGUAUAACACCCUGACCUAAACUCUUUAUUUGGUGCCAGGUAGCACUUUGAUGCCGUGUUUAUAUGUUCCAAAACUGUAGGUGGACUGGUGGAGUACUACUUCAGUGAUGAGGAUCUUCUGAUGCAUAUCAUUCCAUCGAUUACCUCUCUUUGGACAUCUUCCUUAAUUUAGUAACUCAAUUUUCUAAUGGGAAACUAAUGGCGGAGAUCCUAUAGACCUCUGAUGCAAAUUACCUAUCCACGAGAGAGUCAUAGAACAAUCAAGCUAUUCUUUUUCUUUACUAAUAUUGCGGGUUGUACAGAUCCGGCCAGACCUCACCACCGACAGGGAGGCAUUAAGGUGGGGGCCAUGUUCGUCGUGAUACUCAUUAGCAUGGCAAUGAGAGGGCCUUCCGGCCCGGCGGCUUCAUCAACCAGCGCGUGUGCCACUGCCAUAUACAAGAAUCAUCUACACAGAAUUUCUGUUUAGUGUGUUCAUGCCUUUUUAAUUUGCCAGUGAUCGAUGCGUGGACUGCCGGAACAUGCAUUCUAAUCAACGGGCGGUGGUGCAGACACUACAACAAACGCAAUCAAUUCAAAGUCAGAAACAGAAAAGGGAUAAGUAGCAGCUAGACCAUUCACCAAUUGUAGUAACUGCUUCAUCUUACAGGCCACACAACUUCAAGAGCAUAGCAAGCAAGCAAGCAGAAGCAAAAAAACUGAAGCAACAAAGAUAAAAGUCAAACAGCACUCACCGACGGCAACUGGAGCUCUGCGCGGCCCCUGCCAGCGCCAUCCCAGACCACCAGCUCGAACGGCCCUACCAUGUCAUGGACCCUAACAUCGGAGCCGAAUGCCAGGUUGCCAUCGCUGCUCAUGAAGUCGACCCCGUCGGGCCUGCGCCAGCGCGACCGCGGGGCCCCACGUGGGCGGGGAACUCAUAGCACUGCACGGCAUCGACGAGCGCACCCUCGGCGUCGAGCGGCCAAACCCGGACCUCGGCGUCGGGGUCCCAGCCGUACUUGUCGACGAUGGCGUCGACGACAUCGUCGAAGAAGGUGGGAUCCUGGUCGGGCACCGGCUGACGGCCCGCGAAGGCGUAGGCGUGGGAGGAGGCGUUGGAGAUGGCCGCGAGCGGGGACAGCAAGGAGCAGCGCGAGGAGAAGUAGGAGGAUCGGGCAUGCGUAGGAGGUGCGAUCCCCCUGGAGGCCCGGACCAGCGCCGCCUCCAUCUUAGUCCUCAUGGUGUGUUGGGGACGACGGACUGGAGUCGGGAUUGGGGCAGGCGGAGACCGGGUGUUGCGUCCGUCCGUUCGGUUGAGAACGAAUCAUUUUUUUACUUAUUACUACUAACUUAAAUCUUGAGCGCGGGUUAAUUACCAGAAACUUGAGGGAGUGUUUUGCAAAAACGCCGCGACGGUGAACCCGGAGACUCAAUCCGUGCUUUAUUAUUAGGGAAAGAUUAUCGCAGUUGCAAGAAAACCAUCGAGAUGCAACUCGGCCCGACAUAUUUUUAGAUUAUGUUGCAAGUGCACCCUUCUCAGGCAACUAGGCCUACCUAUUUCAUUUUUUUUCUUGUUCUAGUUGCAAGUCAACCACGACAUGCAACUAGAGUCCAACCAAUUCUUUCUUAGUUGCAAAUUGACCACAGACUUGUAACUGGAGAUCUGACCACAAUUUUUUACCUAAGUUGCAAAUUCACCUCGACACAUAAUUAGGGGGCUCAACCAAUUUUCCUGAGUCGCAAGUCCAUCAUUGAUACAUAACUGAGGCCGACCUAUUUUUUGUCAUAGUUGCAAGUCCAUCCUCGACAUGCAAUUGGGCUUGACCCUUUUUUCGUCUCAGUUGCAAGUACAUCCUUGACACGUAACUGGAGAACCUGACCUGUGACUCGCAAGUAGGGUUUUUUUAGUUGUAUAUAACACAGUUACAAGUCCACCACCAACUCGCAACUAGUGGAUUUUUGUAUUUGUAAUUUACACUAGUUCUAAGUCCAUCAUCGACUCGCAACUGCGGGCUUUGUAGUAGUGUAGUUGCCACAAUUAUAAGUCCACACUCGACUCGCAACUAGGGAUUUUUUGUAGUUGUAGUUUCCCUAGAUGCAAGUCCACUCUCAACUCGCAACUCGGGACUUUGUAGUCGUGUAGUUACCCAUGUUGCAAGUCCACCCUCAACUCGCAACUCGGGACUUUUUUUGUAGUUGUAGUUUCCCAGUUACAAGUUCACUACCAACUCACAACUGGGAGGGCUUUUGUUAUAAUUUUAGGUUUCCCUAGUUGCAAGUCCAUCCUCGACUCACAACUGGGGGCUUGUAGUAGUGUAGUUGCUCCUGUUGCAAGUCCACACAUCGACUCACAACUGGGUCUAUUUUGUAGUAGUGUAGUUUCCUCUAUUGCAAGUCCACACAUCGACAUGGAACUAGGUCUUUUUGUAUUUUUAGUUGGCCCAAUUGCAACUCCAGCAUUGAUUAAUACCUGGAGCUUUUUUGUAGUUGUAAUUUUCCCCAGUUGCAAGUUCACCCUCAACUCACAACUAGGAGUUUAUAGUAGUAUAGUUUCCACUGUUGCAAGUCCACACAUCGACUUGGUCUGGGAUUUUUUUCAUUGUAGGUGUCCCAGUUGCCAGUUCACCAUUAACUCGCAAUCAGGAGGCUCGUAGUUGUGUGGUUCCCCUAAUUGCAAGUCCACCCCUGACUUACAACUAGGGGCUUAUAGUAGGUGUAGUUGCCUCAGUUGCAACUCAGCCAUCGACUCGCAACUGGGGCUUGUAGUUGUGUAGUUGCCCUAGUUAAUUGCAAGUACACCAUUGACUUGCAAUUGGGAGGCUUGUAGUUGUUGUAGUUGCCCAUUUGAAAGUCUACAAUCGACUCACAAUAGGGGCCUUUUUUGUAGUUCAAGUUUGUCCCAGUUGCAAGUCCACCCUUGACUCGUAACUGGGGGCUUGUAAUAGUGUCUAUUUCUUUUGCUACUGUUAGAGUUUUUGCGGAAGUGCCUAUGUCAGUUGUAUGUCCAUCACCAAACACGAUCAACUCAAUCUGGUCCUGACCUUUUUUCUGCCUCAGUUGCAAGUCCACUCUCAACUCGCAACUGCGCUCGAUUUUUUUGUCCUAGUUGCAAGUCUAGCCUAGACUCGCAACUGGCCCUAGGUUUUUUGUCACCGUUGCAAGUCCACCAUCGACUCGCAACUGGGCUCGACCUAGGCCUCGGUCCUUUUUUGUCUUUAGUUGCAAGUCACCCUCAACUUGCAACUUGGCAUGACCUUUUUUUGUCCCAGUUGCAAGUUCGCCCUUGACAAUUGCAACUGAGCCCAAUCCUUUUGUGUAGUUAUCCCAUUUCCAAGUCCACACUCAUCUUAGUUGCAGGUACACCCAUGACUUGCAACUAGGAAUGUAGUUUGUUUUUCACCCUCCACUCGCAACCAGGCUCAUAGUUGUCCCAGUUGCAAGUCUGCCAUUGAAUUGUAACCGGUCUCAUAGUUUUAUGUAGUUGUCUCAGUUGCAAGUCCACCCUCCACUUGCAACUGGGCAUGCCAGUUGCAAGUCCAUACUCGACUUGUAAAUGGGCUCACAGUUUUUUUGCCUUGGUUUGCAAGUCCACCCUCCUAGUUGUAAGGCCACCCCCUACUUGCAAUGAUGCUUUUUUGAGCUUUGUUAUUUGUUGCCUUGGUUACAAGCCCAUCUUCGUUUUUGCUUUUACGUCAUCAAUUUUUUCAUUCUUAGUGCCAAUUGCAUGUUCACUACUCACUUGCAAUUGGGCUCCAAGUUUUUUCUGAUGCAAUUAAAAGUUCACAUCAACAUGCAACUGGGGUGAGCGAUUUAUCUGAGUUAUAACUCCAUGCCUGAUAUGCAACUAGGGCCCGACCCAUUUUUGUUCAAGUUGCAAGUCCACCCUCAACACUUGUCUCGCAAAUGGGCCUUCCCCUUUUCCUUAAUUGUAAGUCCACCAUCGAAUCGUAACUGAGCUGAAUUAUUUAGGUCUCAGUUGCAAGUCCACUAUUGACUCGCAACUCGGCUCGACCGAACCUAGACCUUUUUUUGCCUUAGUUCUAGAGUCAAAUCCACCUUGCAACCGGGCCCUUACCCUUUUUAUGUCCAAGUUGCAAGUCCAUCUUCGACUUGCAACAGGACCUCAACUGUUUUUUUCCUCAGUUUCAAGUUCAUCAUUGACUCGCAACUGGGCCUGAAUUUUUUCUCUCUCAAUUGCAAGUCCGCCCUCAACCUGCAACUAGUCUGAAAGUUUUUUAAUUCAUAAACAUUUUCAAACUUUUAUUAUGAACAUUUUUUAUUCCUUUAACAUUUUUUAAAUCAUUAUUUUGUAAUUCAUGAUUGUUUGCUAAUUUGUAAAUAUUUUCUAAAUUUUGUUAUUCCUGAAUUUCCAUUCAUUUUUUAAGAAAUCCAAUUAAAAACAAAUAUGUGAAAAUUUUCAAGUUCAGGGUGAGUUUGAAAAAAAAUCAAACAUGUAAACAUUUUGAAAUUCACAAACAUUUUUCAUGUUCGCGGAUGAGGUAAGCUGGCCUAAAGGGCGUUGAUUUAGCCAUUUAGGGACAAGCUUGAGGGUACUCACAAGAAAAAAAGAUACGUGCGGGUCAGAUAGGAGGCUGGCCUUUUCUUACAUGUGAAGAGUGCAUGCAUGCACCAGGGUAAUUAUUAUACGGAUUUGCUAUUUUCAGUCGACUAUUUUUCAAUUCGCCUUCAUUCCAUUUUGUGUCCGUUCAAUCUCACGCUGAGAUUCACGCCCAGUCAUGUCUUGCUUCUUGUUGGUUUUCGGGUUGGUUUUCUUACCGGGCGCGGUUUUCUACUUUUAACCUGUUUUCCUUGGCCCUGCUCUCCCCGGUCGGUUUACUGUUGGCUUUUGUCAUUUUUGAAUGUAGGAGCGGGGUGUCGUUCCCAUUUCUCAUUUCGAUAAGGCAGGGGGAGAGAGCUCCAGCAAUGGAGGAGGCGGAGGCGAUUGCUUCUGUUCAUGGCGAUUCUGAGCUCAUCCACCGCAAGAUUUUGAUUUCUUCUCCCUCUUCUCUUCGUCCUUUGGCUGCCCUGGUUAGUUGUCCUUGUCUCUCGCGUUUUUCCCGUGGUUUCGUGGCCAUGUAGUCAUAGAUCUAGGGGAUUUUGUGGAUCUGCGAAGUUUGUUUGCCGUAGUGUUUGUAGUCCGCCGUGGUUGUGCCGUAGGAGGUUGCAGCGUGCCAUGCGUAGUCCUCCGUGUCUUCCUUUUCCUGCUGUGGACGGAGGCCAAAUCCCUCCCGGUUAGGAUCCUGUAGGACAUUCUGUUGGAGGCAGUGUUGUAGCUGUUUGAUGUGAAGGUUGGCGUAGAACACUAGAUUUCUCUUGCUGUUGAUGUGGAGGUAGGUGUGGUAGGGUUUAGUUUUGAGGGGUGGGUCCAGUAGAUGUUGAACGUUGAAGGAUCGAGUUCAGUGAUACGCGCUCAGUAUUAGUGUAGCUGAGAUUCUUUUCAGAGUUGAUCUACAGCUCCUAUAUAGAGCCUCACUGCAGCAUGUUUUUGCUUCUAAGUGUUUCAGCAUUUCUCGUUUUAUAGCCUGAACCUUAUCAUUGUGUAACCUUUUUCCCUCUAAUUACCAUGGGGUUAGCUUGUCUUUCUAUCAUUUCCCCCUACAGUCUCUUCAUGUAGCUACCCUGUUGUGCUUCACAUAGUAUUUUCACCGAUAAUUACUGUGUAGUUUGGGCGGUAGUUAUACUGUAAAUUACAUAGUAAUUUGACCGAUAAUUUCUGUGAAAUUAUAGUGUCCUAUCCCAUGAUUUACUGUGUAGUUCGACCGAUGUUUACACUGUAGUCCGAUGCCCCUUUUUACAGUUUAAUUUUGCCCAUAUUUUACACUGUAAUUUGUUGCGCUUUCGCACAAUAUUUUUACCCAUAAUAACUGUGUAAUUUGUAUGCUAGUUACACUAUAUCUGAUGCAUUUUUACACUGUAAUUUCUCCCGUAUUUUAUUGUAUAAUUUGUAUGCUAGUCACCAUGUGCUUUAUGCAUAAGUGGCCUCGCAAAUCACCCUGUUUGUUGUGCGGCCCCGUAGUCUUGAUGUUUUGUUGAAAUCUGAAUGAUCCCAUGACUUCUGUUUGUCUAUUUUCUAAACCUUACCAAGGAGUCGAUGGAUAAGAUUGUCCAGUCUUGAUUUUGUGAAACCUAUGGUGCUUUUGACCACUCAUGUGUGGUGGCAGAUGCUUGAUCCGCGAGUAAGAUUCAGUAAACUAGCCAUAUGUUUGGCAGUAAAUGCUCUUGAUUAUGUGAACUACCACUUCAGAAGUUCUUUGGGAAUUUGUCUGUCAAUUUUGGUUCUGCUAACAACUCUGGGAUUUUUUCUUCCCAGUUUGUUCAAUAUCACCAUCACUGUUGUGUCUAGUGACGUCAGACUUGUAAAAUAUCUUUACAUCACAUUUUCUGCUUAAGGUUGUUUUGUCGCUCGCAUCCAAUUCGGAAGCCUGUUGCCUUUGCAGUGUAAUCUGUUGUGCUUUUGAUCAAUAUUUUUUACCCAUAAUAACUAUGUAAUUUUUAUGCUAAUUACACUGUAAUCUGAUGUGUUUUACACUGUAACUUCACCCGUAAGAAAAAUGGGUAAUUUGUAUGCUACUCACCCUGUGCUUUAUGCAUUUGUACAUUUUACCCAUUUUUCUUACAGUGUAUUUUUUCCCUCAGCUCACUAUUUGCAUUUCUAUAUUUUGAGGCCCAUUUUUUCUCUCUAUUGUUUUUCAGGUAGUAUCUCAAUGGGUAGACUGCGAAAAGUCUGUCGUAAGGAUGUUCCCCUAGUUUCUUCAGUCGAGAAUGUUGAUUCUUUGAAAGACCCCUAUGUGCCUAAUGAUUUUGCUGAUAAUGGUUCUAAUGCUAUGUCUUUGGUAGUUAUUAUUUAUCUUAUUAUCUUCUUUUCAUUUUCUUUUUCUUUUCUAUUUUCUUCCUUAUUAAUUUUUCUUCUUGUUUUCUGAUUUUUUUCCUUUUGCAGGGUUGUUCUGGUGAUGAUGAAGAAUUUGAUAAAGCACUUUACAAUUUUUGUGUAAAUAAUGUAAGCCAUUUUUUCAUGUUUCUGGUGAUGAUGAAGAGUUUGAUGUUUUUAAUCCAUAUUUGUUUCAUAUGUUGGUUUGAUGAUUUAUGUUUUUUUUCUUUUUUGAUCAGAAAGUCAAGUACCUGAAGAGAAAAUUAUCAUCUGCUGGCAGAAGGAAUGUUGUAUGUGUUUUUUUCUCUUCCGUCAAUCAUUGGCUCGUUUGUAUGGUAGCUACACUGUAACCCUACACCCUUUUUUACAGUGUAAUUUUAUCCUAUAUGAAUUGUAAUCUGAAUGCCCUUAUUACCAAGUGAUAAUUAAUGUGAAAUUUGUAUGAUGGUUACAUUGUAAUCCUAUAAUCAUUGUGUAUUUUUGUAUGGUAGUUACACUGUAAUUCUACACCUUUUGUACUGGGUAAAUUUACCCAUAUCUACAUUGUAAUCCGAUGCCUUUUUUUACACAAUAAUUUACCCAUAUCAUUGUGUAAUUUUGUAUGGUAGUUACACUACAAUCCUACACCUUUCUUACAGUGUAAAUUUACCCAUAUCUGCACUGUAAUCCGAAUGCCCAUUUUUUACAUAGUAAUUUGACUGAUAAUUACUGUGUAGUUUUGUAUGGUAGUUACACUGUAAUCCUAGACCUCAUUUACAGUGUAAAUUUACCCAUAUCUGCACUGUAAUCCGAUGCAUUUUUUUACUCAGUAAUUUGACUGAUAAUUACUGUGUAAUUUGUAUGGUAGUUACAUUGUAACCCUACACCUUUUUUACAGUGUAACUUUACCCAUAUUUAUACUGUAAUCCGAUGCCCUUUUUUACAAAGUAAGCUGACUCAUAAUUACUGUGUAAUUUGUAUGGUAGUUACACUGUAAGUGUAAUCUUAUACCAUUUCCCCCCAUUGUAAUUUUACCCAUGUCUAUAUUGUAUUUGACUGAUAAUUUUAUGUGUAAUUUGUAUGGUAGUUACACUGUAAUCCUAUUUUUCAUUUUCUGCAGUGUAAUUUUCCCCAUAAUGUAUAUUGUAAUCUGUUGCUUUUAAAACUGUAAUUUUACUCUUAAUUACUGUGCAAUUUCAUAUGCUAGUCCCAAUGUAAUCCAAUGCGAUUUUACUAUGUAAUUUUACCCCCUUAUGCAUUUGCUCAGUGUAAUCUUAUACAUUUGUACAGUCUAAUUGUACCCAUAACUCUUUCAGUGUAAAUUUCCCUUUUUCUCAUUUUUUCGGGUUGAUUAUGUGAUGUUAUUUUUGCUGGGGUACCCCCCUUUGUCUUUCUAGUGUGCCUCAAAUUACCCUCGAAUGUUGUGCCUUCUUCAUUUUGUAGGAACUUUUCAAUGUCAUCUUCAUCAAGAAAUAAAUCAUCUUCUCCAAGGAAGGCAUUGCUUUCAGGUUGUUUAUGGAAGUCCUCUGUUUCUCCACUUUCUUCUUGAUUGCUUUGGUUCCUGUCAGUGCUUGUUGUAGCUGUACAUUCAGGAUCAUCAUUCAUCUGCAUUUUUACUCUCCGUUAGUGAGAUUUAAUUUUCCAACAUUUUCCAAUAUACAAUAGUAUACUUGGAUCACAUCAUUUUUUUAGUUUGCUUACCUGUUGUAUGUUCAUGUUCUCAAACAGGGCCGCCUCCCAAGGAUUAGCUUUCAUUGCUGCCUCUUGGUCUGCUCGAUCGUCUUCAUGCAUUUCUUGCCAUGCCUGUUGAGUAAGUCAAAAAUAUACUUUGUUAUUCUCUUAUCUUUCGAUACCCUAAAUUGUGUAUUUGUUUCAGAUAACAUACUCUUGUGUCUUCGAAUGAGUUUGUGGCUGAUUUCUGCUUGUUUGCUGAAGAUUCCGUCAUUUUGGUUAUUCAUGUUUGCAGGUCCUCCUGCCGAGUGUAUCUGCAAGCAACAAGAUAGUUUUAUUUUUGUCCUCAUGCUGUUUCAAAUUCAGGUAUUAUCCAGAGCAAAUUUUUAUAGUUUGUUGCUCUUUUUUGUUACCUUGUAUAUGAUGUCUAAUUGUAGGAGUGCAGUAAAUGAGAAUGAUUCGUCCAGUAAUUCAUUUCAAUUUAUCAACUUCUCAGUCAUAUAAAGAUUUUCCUAGUAUUUUUGUUUGUUAUUUAUGGGCAUUUUAUAACUCGUUUAGUAUGAGAUCUUCAUGUGACAUUAACAGUAGAUCUUCUUCAGUCAUUGCUUUCUGCUUGCUUUGCACCUGCCAUUUAGAGUUUUGAAGUAAUGUCAAUAAAACUGCAAAAAAAGGAAAUUAUUACUGUACAAUUUUCUUAGCAAUAGUGGCAGAGCUCCUGAAAUAGUGGUGGUGCUCCUGAAUUUUUUGGUGUUCCCUAAAUGUGUUCUUUUCAGUACCUACUGAAUUGUUGUCUAAAUUAACAGUAGCAGUGUUCAUCAUGUCUGAUCAUGCUCUACUAUUUAAUUUGGUAUGAUGGAAGUAUUUAUCUCCACAGUGUUCAUCUUGUCUGAUCAUGCUCUAGUGUUAUCUAGUGACAGUAAUGUCAGUACAUCAGUUGGGAUUUCAUAUAUGUCAUGCAUGCUUGAGUUAUUUCUCCCCAGUGUUUUUCACUGUUGAUUUAAUGUCAUCACUAAGUUCAGUCCCUGAUCUUUUUGUACUCUCACAAAUUAGUGACAUGUCUUUUCUGCUUUGUUUUCUAUUCUGGACCUAAUGUAGUCUCUCAAAACAGAGGUGACCAAAAGUAGAGUGCAACAGAGGAGAUGAAGAUUUUUCCUAUCAGGUGCUUUUGACGGGUCAAGCAAAGGACAGUAGGGGCGACCGGUUCAACCUUUUCUCGAUGUUAGUCACUUGAUGGGUCACAUAUACAGCCCGACCCGUUUUCUUCAAGAAAAACAGACAUAUAGCUGUCAACAAUUUAUCGGUUGGAGAAUUUGAGUGAUAACCAAUUACAAAUCAGUCGAUUGUUGAAUAGACAGUCCUUGUUGUAUGCACACUUGAAUUAACCAAGCUAUUCUCAACAUGAGAACCUAGCUAAUCGUGGGUGGCUCUCUGGCAGUCGCCAGACAGGUCCGCAUCCGCGCGAGCCCUUCUCACGUGAUUUUUUUUCGUCAACAACAAACGAGCUAGUGCGGCAGCUUCACAAACAAACAAACAAAAAAGUGAAGGACGCAGUAGACUUGUCUCUACUUAGAUGAGACAAUACAAGUUAGAGCAUGAUCUAGCAGACCCUGCAAAAUCUCGGCCCGCAUAAGUCUUUUGCAGUUCGCGAAAAAAGGUGGGAGCAACUAGUUAACGAGCGCUCCCUCGGAGCGCUCGUAAUGAGCGGUUCGGGAGCGCUCCGUGCGCGGAGCGCUCCUGCAAGGGAAAACCAGUUGCGCGGUUGGUUCCCGGUUUUCCCUUUCCGGUUUGUGGUUUGGUGCGUUUUGCAGUUUGACCCUCGAACUACCUAAAUUUUCCAUUUUCCCUUUCCGCGCGAAAACACAAAAAAAUACCGGUUCGUGCGGUUGGUUCCCUUUUUCCCUUUCCCGUUUCCCUUUUUGUUCCCAUUAUAUUUCCGGGUAAUGGAGAUUUAUGGGGUAGUUACGGGCGGCGACUACCAACACUAUAAAAUGUCACCUUUCAAGUAAAGAAAAAAAGAAACUUUUUAAUGUAAAAAAGCAGUCUCCAGAAUCAUUCAAUCGCGCGGCGCGUUGUACGUCAUCGUGUGGCACGGCGCCUCCAGCACGAGUGAAUCUCCGGCUCGCCUUCGUCUCGUUUAAUUUUCGUAAACAUCUUGAAGGGGUGGCAUAGGUCGAAGUGUGUGUUGGUUCGUGCAGCGCGUUAUAUGUCGUUGUGUGGCACGGCGCCUCCGGCGCGAGGGAACCUAAGGCUCACCUUCGGCUCGUUUCAUUUUCAUAAACAUCUUGAAGGGGGGCAUAGGUCGAAGUGUGUGUUGGUUCGUACGACGCGUUGUACGUCGUCGUGUGGCACGACACCUCCGGCGCGAGGGAACCUCCGGCUCGCCUUNNNNNNNNNNNNNNNNNNNNNNNNNNNNNNNNNNNNNNNNNNNNNNNNNNNNNNNNNNNNNNNNNNNNNNNNNNNNNNNNNNNNNNNNNNNNNNNNNNNNNNNNNNNNNNNNNNNNNNNNNNNNNNNNNNNNNNNNNNNNNNNNNNNNNNNNNNNNNNNNNNNNNNNNNNNNNNNNNNNNNNNNNNNNNNNNNNNNNNNNNNNNNNNNNNNNNNNNNNNNNNNNNNNNNNNNNNNNNNNNNNNNNNNNNNNNNNNNNNNNNNNNNNNNNNNNNNNNNNNNNNNNNNNNNNNNNNNNNNNNNNNNNNNNNNNNNNNNNNNNNNNNNNNNNNNNNNNNNNNNNNNNNNNNNNNNNNNNNNNNNNNNNNNNNNNNNNNNNNNNNNNNNNNNNNNNNNNNNNNNNNGGCUCGCCUUCGGCUCGUUUAAUUUUCAUAAACAUCUUGAAGGGGGGGCAUAGGUCGAAGUGUGUGUUGGUCGUGCGGCGCGUUGUACGUCGUCGUGUGACACGGCGCUUCCGGCGCGAGGGAACCUCCGGCUCGCCUUCGGCUCAUUUAAUUUUCAUAAACAUCUUGAAGGGGGGGCAUAGGCCGAAGUGUGUGUUGGUCGUGCGGCGUGCUGGUUCGUGCGGCGCGUGUUUAAUUUUUAUAUAGCAGGUUGUGCUGAAGGCACGGGUUUGAAGCAUGUGUUUGAAGCAUGUGCUGAAGUUUGUGCUGAACGUUGUGCUGAAGGCACGGGUUUGAAGUAAUUGGAGUCACGUCUAUUUACGAGCUAGGUUUGUGCGUGCAUUCACAUGUGUGUAUACUACGAAGGCAUUGGUAUGUUGCCUGCGGAGGCACGGGUUUGAAGCAUGUGAAGUCACGUGUGCGUAGGAGCUAGCCACGGUUGAGGUGUUCUUGGUAUGUGUGUGUGUGGAUAUUGCCCGGAGGCAUGGUGACCUAGGGUUUGGUGGCACAAAGGCCAUUUCACCUCUGGAGCCUCGGGAGGGUGGUCUCCAGAGUCACGUGUAAGGCUAUGUGUGUGUGUGGAUAUUGCCCGGAGGCAUGGUGACCUAGGGUUUGGUGGCACAAAGGCCAUUUCACCUCUGGAGGCACAGGAGGGUGGUCUCCAGAGUCACGCGUAAGGCUNNNNNNNNNNNNNNNNNNNNNNNNNNNNNNNNNNNNNNNNNNNNNNNNNNNNNNNNNNNNNNNNNNNNNNNNNNNNNNNNNNNNNNNNNNNNNNNNNNNNNNNNNNNNNNNNNNNNNNNNNNNNNNNNNNNNNNNNNNNNNNNNNNNNNNNNNNNNNNNNNNNNNNNNNNNNNNNNNNNNNNNNNNNNNNNNNNNNNNNNNNNNNNNNNNNNNNNNNNNNNNNNNNNNNNNNNNNNNNNAGUCACACGUAAGGCUAUGUGUGUGUCUGGAUAUUUCCCGGAGGCAUGGUGACCCAGGGUUUGGUGGCACAAAGGCCAUUUCACCUCUGGAGGCACGGGAGGGUGGUUUCCAGAGUCACGCGUAACGGUAUGUGUGUGUGUGUGUGGAUAUUGCCCGGGUGCAUGGUGACCUAGGGUUUGGUGGCACAAAGGCCUUGUCACCUCUGGAGGCACGGGAGGGUGGUUCCCAGAGUCGUGUGUAAGGGUUCAUUUUGGGAGUCAGUGUUGUCGUACAAAUAAGAAGAGGCAUUGUUGUUUAUAGUUUACUAGCACUCUCUGAUGAUGUAAGAGGCAUUGUUGUCGAAAUACUUCUCUUUUCAAUAUGAACAUGCAAUUUCUAACUACAUUACAUAGAAAUGUGAGUUAUUGAUAAAAAAAUUGUCACGUCUAGAUAGAAUUAGCCUCGCGGGCUAAAUCAAAAGUUUUAGUCUUCAUUUUUGCUCAAGAUCUUGCUAAUCUCGUCACCCAUUUCACUAGCUUUGACUUGAUUCAUCUCGCUACUUAAGAGAAUGUACAUUGCCUCUGCCCUCCAAUCUUCGACCUCAUCCUGUGAAAUUUUGCUGAGAAGAGAAGUAUAUUAUUAGAGUUUGUGCAUAUAAGUUGUUUAUAAGUAAAUCUAUAUAAAAUUACUGUCAAAUCUUCCAGGUCUUGGACAAACUUUUCACCAUUGUAGAUGAAUGCAAGUUUUAAAAUAGCAAAUGUUGAUUCUCCCUUUUCUACCACUGGAACAUCUUGCACGGUAUGAAUCUGCCAUCUUGUACACAUGGGAGUCAUUGUUUGUCCUAGUAUGGUGUUGAAGACUUCUUUAAACCUAGGUACCUGGGAAUAUUGUAUUUUGUAAUUAAUUGUUUUUAUAUUGCAACUUGUAAAACUGAAAAAAAUUGUUAUGUAUAAAUGCUUACGAUUGCCAUCUUAUGAACAUGAUAUUCCUGAAACUGUCUUUCUCUUUCUUUUUCAGCAUCUUCAUUUUCCUGAAGAACUCGACUUGCUUCUUUUUAAUCCAAUUUAUCUAUGUCUACCUUUUCUUUCUCAAAUUCCUCUAGAGUCGUUUCUCGAGGAUCAAUAAUGUGAACUUUGUUUUUGUAUUUGUCCAGCACAUAUAGUACAUAGCGGUCAUCCUUCUCCAUUGGAAUGAAUAUCUGCGUACAAAAUACUUGUUGCUUAGAUGACAGUUUAAUAUAAAGUAAUUUAAUAGAACGCAUAUUUUGAGAUUUUGUCAUGGAGGAAAGGGUUGUUACCAUGUUUGCUGUUGAGAGCUUUUUCCGUUGAUUUUCCUUGAGAUACAUGGGAACCAGCUGAUUCUUUCUUUUUUGCAGUUCAUUCUUAAAUUUUUUGAUACCAGUUUUGUGAUGCUUUAAAUCCAAUAUAUGCUGCAAACAAUAAUUACGAUGAAAAACACUGUUAGAAAAAAGAGCUGUAUAACAAUAUAAAAAGAGUAGGUGUUGCAAUAUAGACAAGAUUUUGCUUUUUAAAGUUUUACCUCUGCAAAGUUUGGGCCUAAUGUUACUCUAUCACUCUGUUUUGAAUCUUGUUUGCUUUCCCAGAUUUCUCCUAUGUUGUCGCGGACCCUCUUUUCCAUAUGAUCCGGUAUGUUCGUCUGUGCUGGUCUUGGACCAAAUACUGCCUUCAGUUUGGCUCCAGUAAGUUACAUGCUUUCACUGUCCCUUCGAAUGGAGGAUGUCUUUACCUCCCAUGAGGAGUUCAAAUCCUUUUAGUGUUUCGUCCUCGUUGAAUUCUGAUAGCUCUGCGUUAUCAUAAUUGAGACCGAUGACCAGCUUCAAGAAAGAGAGUGUGUGGUUUUAGUGAAAUAUUCUAUCCUAGUAAUGGCGGUGGUUUUUUUGUGGGUGAGGUAUGCAUACAUUUGCGGAACCUGCAGGGAGUACAGUUGUGUCGUCUGGGUUGAACUGUUCUUGUUCUGCCCAUUCCUCUAGUAACGUGUUUAGCAUGGAGCCCUCCAUCUGUGUUUCUCCUUUUCCUGCUUGUUCCAUGAAGGAUUUUGCUGAAAUGCAGUCUUCUCGGUUUGAGCUUUUAUAUUUAUAUAGUACUUGUCUGCAAGGAGGGUUUGGAAGUAGGUGAGUGAAUUGUUAGUUGGAUGUUAGAGAAUCUGUAGCUCUGUGUAGUUGUUUCCAUGGAACUAGGAGAAUCUUCUUACCCUGUGCAUUCUCUCUGUCCUUGUCGGCUCAUCAGAUAUCUAUAGAGUUGCAUGGCCUUUUCUCUAUAAAUGAAAUCUCCUGGAACAAGUGAUGCAACCUUGACUUUCCCAGGUUCCUUGCUUGGUCGUUUGAAUGGCCUCUUAAUUGAGAUUAUGUUUGCUGAGCUAAUCUCUAAUGAUUGAAUCGUUGACGGUUUUGGGGAUCUUGUCUGUACUCUUGGAAGAUGCCUUGCCUUUUUCUUGUCGUGACCUAACUGCGCCAGCUCGUUAGGCUGCCUAGGUGUUGGUGAUUCCUUUUGUGUGAUGUUGUUUUUUAUGCUCGGUUCUACUGAGAUUGCAGCAUCGCGUUUCCUUUGUUCAAGUAUCUUUUCUGUUAAAUCCUUCUCUUUCUUCUUCUUUUCUUCUUCUGCAUGUUUCACCUCGGGUGAUGUUCCUGGUUUGCGAUCUUCGUCAACAGGGUUCUUGUUCUGUUUGGAAAGCUCGUGUUGGCGAGUUGGUAUGAUCUUUGUCCUGUUAUCACCUUCUAAAGGAGAGCCUGUUAUGUGUUCUGUCUUUUUAUCUGGGGGUAUUCUGCCUGGUUCUAUCGGUGGAUCUUUCCGUUCGUCUUCCUUUUGUAAAUCAGUGUCUGGCUACGCGUGUUGUUCCCUCUGUAAACCAGCAUCUGUCUGGGCUUGUUCUUCCGUGAGUGCUUCUUCAGAUGCUUUGGUGGUAUCCUUGCUACUCACAUGAUAAUCUUCUUUCUCCUCAUCGCUGCUUGUGUCAUUAAUGUCAAUAACUUUUAUCUCUUGAGCGCUCAUCCCAAUGUGCUCGGGAAUUGGAGGAAUCUCUUCUUGAAUUAUGUCACAAUGUAUUCGUUGCAUUUCACUGUCUUCCAUAUCGACCUCAGAGUUCAGCAUAUCUGUUAAAAUAAAAAAUAAAAAAUUAUUGGUGUGUCUCUGAAAAUUAUAUAAGUAGAAUUUUACUUUGUUGUCUUGAGAAAGAGAAACCUUUGGUGUAGUUGAUUAAUGUCAGUGCGGUCGUAUCUCUGUAUUGGCUGAUUAUUUGAUAGAGAAUUUUCUUCCUCAACCCCGGGACUUGUUCUUCUGUUAGGUACACUGUUUCUCCACCGUCGGUGUAGUGCUUUGCGUUCAUGAACAUAUAGAACGCACAGUCGAGUCUACAGGUAGAAGGAUGAUUGGUUAUUGUCGUUGUCCAAAGAUGGUUGGGCAGUUUAGGUGAAGUUGUCCUAACGUCCUAUGUUUUUUAUGGAUUGAAUUAAUAGUUUAAUUGUUACAGUGAGUAAGGAAAAGGAGAAAGGUUUGUAGUGCUUACGUUCGUCCCUGAAGUGGCACCUGCAUUUUGACCUUUUCGAAAUGGUCAAUACUACUUGGAGACAGCUGGAGCAAUUUGCUUACUUGCUUCCAUAAGCUCUUUACUCUGUUUGUUAUUGUGUUGAAGUAAUCCAUUGUUCCUUCAUGUUCAACUGCUAAAGAGUCAAGGAGUUCGAAGCACUCUUUUUUCAUGUUUAUUGUAACAAUGAAGUAGUGGCCGACAGCUCCUCGAAGAGGCCCGCGUAUGCAAACUGGUAGAAAGAACUGCAAAAAGGAAAAUAAAUAAAUAAGGGAUCCUUCUUGAAUUUAGUCAUGAUUUGUUGAUCGUUAGACGGAAUUGUAGUGCCGAGAUUGUAUUUCUUAUCUAUAACAUGACAUGUGCUUACUAUGUCGAAAUCUUGUAGUUGCUCUCCUUCUUCCAGAUCGAGGAAUCUUUUAAGCCUUUUAGGCAUUGUCUUGUCUUUGACGUGUGCUUCGUCUUUAUUUUUCAACUCCAAUGGAUCUUCGUGGUUGGCCAUGCGUAUUGAUGCCUGCUUUUUUUGUCACAUGUGCGUAAAAGAGAUUUGUAAAUUCAAUUGUACAGAAAGUUAUAUUGAUCGAUAUAGUGAUAUUCAUUUGUUGAAACUUGAGGUUUACUUACGGUGUUGUAUGUUGAUAGAAUCAUUCUCUUUGUGCCCCUGAAUUGCUUUUUCAACAUCUGUAGCAUGACUGCCAUGGUUUUGCUGCGCACUGCGUUUCCAGACUUGAAGCUUUCUGCCAUGAGGCUCACCGUUACUGUUGACGUCUCUGUAUUUAUAAAAAUCUCGUGCCUGCAACACACACACAUAUAUAUAUAUAUUUAUAUAUUUACAUAUAUAUAUAUUUAUAUUUACAGGUGUACAUGUAAAAUCUUUAAGGGAGAAAAUCAUUGGAGGAAUAUAAUUUGUUGGUGGUAACAUGAAAUUACCCUUUGUCCUCAUUCGCUGUCAUGACAUUGUUGUACAGGCGUUCGAUCCCUUCAUCUUUUGUGCCUUCUUUGAUGGCCAGGUUUUGUAUGAUCAAUGGUUCACAUUCUGUUUGAGUGCCGUCCUGGCUUACCGUCGUGUUUGUGGCGGCAACAUCUUUUACAGAACAAUGUUUCUUGUCUGAUGGUGCGGCCUUUUUCUUGUUGUUGUCUGACUCUCUCUCUGGAAUGUUUGCUGCAUGGUCUUCCAUUGCACCGUGGCCCUUUGCUUCUUUGCUUGUGUCUGCGUGCGUGUCUUGUUGAGGUUUCUCCGUUGUCGUGUAAAAGCGUGGUUAAAAAAUAAUUAAAUAUGCUCGGUAUUUUCAUUGUAGUUUAGUGUCCGUUCCCUAAGAAAAAUACUCAAAUGUUUAAGUGUGUCUUUGAACAUUUUUUUGUAGCUUCACCUUUUUAGCCGUUUUCGCAGGUGCUGCCUCUUUGAGCUUUUCUUCUUUCAGUGGAGGUUUUUGGAGCUUUUCUUCUUUGAGUGGAGGUUUUUGUAGCUCCACUGGAUCUUUUUCGUUUUGUUCUUCCGUGGUGUCGUCGUUUUUGUCUUGUGGCUGUUGAGACAUAGAGGUAGGUAAAUGAGAUUGCAUUUGUGUCUUUGUUCACUCAAAUAUCUAAUUUCCUUAAAAGCAGGUUAUCUCACUUCACCUUUUCAGCCUUUUGCGUCGACAUUGGCAUCUCUGUUAUUUCUUGCUCGGACAGCAGAGGUUUUCUGGCUUGGUCUACGGCAGUUACUCUGUCCAUUAUUGGAACAACAUCUUCUGAUUGUUCCAUUCCCUUGUGUUGUUGUGUUUGUUGGUCUUGAAUAUUGGUGCUCUCCUCUGUUUCUUGCAUCUGUCUGAACGCAAAAAAAGUAAUUAAAAUGUGUCUGUUUCUUAUAUGCUAUAGAAAAAGGUUUUGUAGCUUGACCUCUACAUUCAAUCUCUCUUUUGCCGUUCCUGUCACUUCUUCUCUGUCUUCUGGAGUUUUUGUACAUUGUCGAGCGGUAGCAACACUUUCUAUCGCUUCUUGAGGCACAUCUUCUGCUUCAUUUGUUUCUUUCUUCUGUUCAGUCAAAAAAAUGUAAAUAAAGUUUGGACUUCAUCUGUGCAUGCAUAACUUUUUUUAACAUUGUAGGAGCAGGUGCAUGUAGCUUUACCUCGUUGGUCUUCGAUGCUGGUGGCAUGUCUUCUCGGUUGUAUUUGUCACAUGAAGACUGCUGUUUGGUCGGCGUACUGGGUACCAUUUUAGUCGCCAUUUGCCCUUGAUUUUUGGUUUGUUCUGUUUGUACCCCUUGCUGUUCUUCGGGAUGACCGUCCUUGUUUGUUUCCUGCGUUUCAUGAAAAAAGGAAAAGCAUGGUUCAUUGCUUGUAAUUCUUGUGUUACUGUGACAGGUUGUGCUGGGCAGUACAUUUCUUAUAAAUUUUGGAAAAAUGGUUCUUGUUGAAUUUUACCUUUGCGCCGAUGGUUGGGAUAUCCGUUUCUGCGUCCACUUUUUCUUUGCUUUGUAUACCAGCCUUGUGUGUGUCACCAGGUGCAGUGUCUGAGGCUUUCUCCCCUGUAUCGGUCAUCUGAAAUGCUCUUGUGCUGGAGAGCUGUUCUAUAUCAACUUUUUGUUUUGCAUGGGCAUCCUCUUCUUUUUGUUGUGCUUGUAAUAGCUGAUAGAUGAAACAAUAUAAUUUGACGGCAUUUGGCGAGGUGGGUUUGGAAGUUUUACCUCUUCUUUGUUGUUUUCUUCUUGUUUUUGUGUCGUGCUGUUAACGGUCGAUGCUAGAUCAGCCCAUGCCUCGUUUGUGGGAGCGUUGAUAUGAUACUUGUCCGGCUGAGUGUAUAUUUUGUUGCAGAUUUGUCAGCUAACUCAAGACCGUUUCUAGUUUAGAGAGAAGAGACUUUUUAGAAAGAAGAGACUGAUUUUUUAUACUCACUUCUUUGCUGCCUCCGAUCCUGUUCGUCUCUUGUAGUGAUCCUGUUGAUGCUUUUGAGGGAGCAUCAUCUGUUGUUGGGUUGCUUGUUCUAUUGCUUCCAUCCUCUUGCUCGGUGUUCUUGACGACAUGCUGCUAUUGGCCUUUAUGUUUUGGUGGCGUUCUCUUGCCGUGUCCCUGACAGAAUUGAAGACAAAUUUUUUAAGUUCAAGUUUGAAAGCAUCGCUUUCGAGUUACAUGGAUGAUGUAUUUGUUCUCAUUUACUUGUUUUUCAUCUUGAUUAUCUGCUUCUGCGGCUACUUUUCUACCUUGUUCUUGCUGUCCUUCGGCACUUGCUGUAUUGGUUGAUACAUGCUCUUUGCUUUGCUCUUUUUGCACCUUAUUAUGUUCUUUUGUCUCCCUCUGGCUAAUUCUCGAGGUUUGUGUUCUUGAUUUUGUUAUUCUUUUCUUGCUUUCAUGUUUGUUUUGUUGGUCUUCUUCUUCCUUCUUCCUUUUUCUCCUCACUCCUGGUUCUGCUGUGGCUGCGACUUCUUUCGUGUGGUUGCCAUGUACAAGUGCAGUUGUGGCUCUUGUGUCUGCUCCAUCCUGCAACUUCAGCGACGACUCUUCUAGUAAGCUCACUGUGCAAACAAUGCCCUGAAAUUUUCUAAGUUGUUUGAGAGAAUCAAUCAGGGCCGUUGUUUGUUGCACCACUGAGUUCUUCAUGUUUUCAUCUAAUCCCUCCUCUUAUUCGCUGCAUUGGUGUCCAGCCCUGGUCUUUAUCCCCGGUAUCUGUUUUGUUUCGUCGAGUACUUGUUUCAACGUUUCUUCUAUCCUUGUGAAUAUUUCAUAUGAUCAUGUGCUGGUACCUGUGACUGAUUGCUUGCUUCCACUCGUGCUGACAUGUGCUUUGUCCCGGCGCUUGGUUGGGGGUGGUAGUAGCUUGGUCAUCUGCUGGUGAUCCUGUUGUUGUGCUGGUAUCAUCUGUAAUGAAUGCGAAGGUGUUGCUGUGUUGGCAUAGAAGAUCCUCUCUUUUGUUCCUUUCCAUGUCUGCAUUGUUUCGGCAGAAUGGAGUUGGUUAGACUGGAAACCGUUUUUAUAAGGUAUAAUGCAUAUAUAUUCAAUAGGACUAUACCUUUAUCUUGCCAAAUUCAUAGUCAUCUGGUCGUGCUUUUCCAUCCUUUUUCAUGUCUGCCAUAGCUAUUUUCUUUAGGUCACUCUCUCUUAGGUGGUUUUCUCGCGGUAAUGAUGUCUUGUCCAUUAUCUUUGCAAUCUUGCACAUUUCUAUUGUGUCGGUUAGCAGCAGCAGGGAGUCGAGGUACAUUAUUACUGGUCCCUGUGCCAAACCAUUGAGAUGCUUUUUUUUUCUUUUCUUCCUGAGGCAACAACAUGUGCUUCUGCCAUAUCUUGGCUCCUUCCUUAAUACUUUCGACGAUUACCUCGCAGAAAUCCAUCUUUCCCAUUUCUGGAUAGUUCAAUUCCUUGACCAUAAUGCCUUGUUUGCUGAAGGUAGGGGAGGUUGUUCCACAGACAAUGUUGUGGAAAAAAUAAGGAAAAAUAUUUUAACUGAUUUCCUAUUUGAUUGUUCGUCAUUUACUUUCACCAAGUUUCAUAGUUCUUUAAAUAGAUCAUCGUGAUGGAAAUCCAUUUUCUUGAGGCCAAGUUCUGUGAUAAGUUCUUUCACUGAAGUUGGGCUCUUCUCUAGCCUUGGUGCUGACUUUUCCGUGCCGUUUGGGUAUCCAAACACCUUGUGUAUAGCUUCCCUGGAAAUCUUGAUUACUUUUAGCUGAUUAGCAUCAUCGAAUGUUAUUGUCAUGCUUUAUGUGUCCAGGUUGUCGUAGAUGUGUGCUGCAAGCGGUUUGCAGAUGGAGCACUUUAUUUGGCAUUCCUCUAUGCUUCCAAACCCUGCCGUCCUAACAUCUUGCCGGUGACGUUCUUUUAGUAAUUUCCAUGCUCUAUUGACCUGAUCAAAUGCUGCUCCUACCUUGAUUUCGCAUUUGUCCUUAUUUGUUGUUGCCUCAUGUUCAUUAUCCGUUGGUGCUGCCAAUUAUUUUCCACUUGUCUUCAUCCUCUUUGUCCGCUUCUGUCUUGGUUUUCCCUGUGUAGAAAAAGAGUGUUUUGUUAUAGAGGAUGGUUUGGUUUUCAUGGGUGUAAAGCAGUAGGAAAAAUCUGUAGAGAAAUUGUGUUUUACAUCAUUGUUGAUGUCCUCUGCGGCGCCACCAUUUUCCCCUGCGACGUCAUCGCCCUCUGCACGAAUGAGGUCAUCAUCAUGUUUUGUGCCAUCGUCGUCGUCGGCAGCAUCAUGCUCUGACUCUUUGCUAGCAUCAUCCUCGCCUUCUUCAAACUGUUGUCUUUUGUUUUUCUUCUUGGUUUUAGUUAGUUCAUUCUUGACCCCUGUAACUGCUGGCGGGAGCACCAUUAGAGGUCUUGGCUGCUGCUGCUGCAAGGUAGCACUGUCGCUAAUGAGUUGAUUUUUGUCCUUUGUCUUUUGUCUUUUUGUUCUAGGAGGAACGACAGUCUUGGUAUCUGAUGGCCUCUCUUUUUGUAGCUCCCUGCUCAAAGUUGGUGAUGGCACUUGCUCGGGCGCUUCGUUGUCCAUGUUCCGCUUCGUACUUUUUUCUGACGGGUCAGGAGAGAUGAGUGGUUUUUCUAGAUAUGCACUGUUAAGUUCAGUCAAAAUCGUUUCAAUAUCUCCUCCUGCACAACCGUCACCUACACGAUGAUUAUGUAACAAAAGGAUUACGUAGCAAAAUCGAGAUAAAUGGGAUAUAGUUUUCAAACCAUGUCUUCCACGACUGCACAAAAAGAACCUGAAACUUAAUCUACAUAGAUUGAUAAGAUAGCCCUUUUGUUUCAUUUCCUAAACUAAAAAGGCGAUCAAUCCAUUGUUUUCUUGUUAUAUCAAGUUUUCUUCCUAACUCUUGGUUUGGCCAAAGAGUGAUGGAAAUUAGGGUCAGGUGUGAGCAGUAUGGCUGCUGUCAAGUCCAUUCAGUGAAGGGAGGUCUUUUUUUAUAUUGAAAAAACACUACAAAUGAUAUUCUGUAAAUAUAAUUGUAAGGUUUAGAGGGUAAGAUAAAAUGUUCUUGAAUGAAUAAUGAUACACAUAGUGUGUGAAAAUUUUCAUCAAAGUGUAGUUCCCAAGAUUGUGUGGGCGUAAGUGGUUAACUUACUGCUGCAGCUACAUAGUUUUUGUUAUAUGGUUUGUGUGAGCCUUUUAUAGUACCUUGCUGCACGGCAGGAUGUUCUGCAGGUACCCUAUUUUCCUUAUUACCAUUCCUUGUUGCGUAAAAAUGCCCAUGCGUUAGCAGCAGUAGAAGCAAAAUUUAAUUUCACAGCAAAAAGAGGAGAUGCAUCCCGUGGACACAAAAAACGGCACUACCGGAGAGGCACAAAUUGAUUCACGCUAUAAGCACACAUCUAGAUCUAUUAUUGGAGCACGGAUGUUGAUAUGAGAGAGGCACAUAAUUUGAAACAGAUACAAUCAACGGAUAUAUAGAAUCUUCUAUAAAUAGCAGGUUUUGACUUUAAGGAUGCUCUCAUGGUUUGAAUCUAGAGCGGUGUCCUAGAUAGUUCUGGCAUGCACAAUACGUUUUAGGCAAAUAUCUUGCAAGCAGAUUUCUGUGGCGGAUAGUUGUAGCAUCCUAUUGCACUCGUGUCUACCUUAUUUCAAUUUUGCUACAAAAGUCUAAACAGACUUUUUGGAAACGCGGUUUUGUGUGGCGGUUAGGGUUCAUGUCCGUCAAAAAGGGGAAAACCGCUUUGAUCGAACUAUGGUAAUGGAAUGUAAUGGAUUAAUAUUUUUUUACCUUCGAUUGCUUGUGAGGGAUUUGGCGCAUCCACCGGCUGCUUUUUCUCCCUGCUCUCUGUUGGUACCUCCGCCGCGAGCAGGGGUCGUCGCCGUCAGUCGCCGCCACCGGGAGAGGUUUUUUACGCUUUCGCGGGCACCCACUGAUUGUCUGUAUCUCGAAGUGGAUGGCGGCUAGUGUAUGAGGCGAACGCGAUUUGGAUUUUUGGUUGGUCUGCUGGAUUGGACAAUGCGGGCAGUAGGAGAGAGGAGGGUGUUCGAGAGAGGGGAACUGGUGGAGUGUUUGAGAUUUUCGAUGCGAAAGCAAAAGGAAGAAAGGAGUGGAGGGAGAGAGGGCAAUGGUCCAACCGUCACGAAUCUUCGACCGUCCGGUUUCACAUCAAGAUUGGUGUAACUUUCUAUGGGCUUCGAUGCGGGAGCGUUUUUUUAUUUUAGUGUGGUGGCAUCGAUGUGGGCAUGGUCUUGUGUCACCCAGAGUCAUGUUCGUGCCUGCGCGUGUUGCAGACGGUUUCUAUGACGUGUCUGCGUCUGUUUGGACAUCAAGAUCGGUGAAACUUUCUGUGUACUUCCAUGAACUUGUUUUUUGCUUGCCAUCUUAACUGUUAGUCGGUGGGAUGUUAGCAUUUUUUUGAUUUUAGUGUUUUUGUGUGAUCCACAGGGGCAUGGCUUGGCGUUACUCAGAGUUACGUUCAUGUUUUUUUGUUUUCCAAACGAUUCUGCUCGCCAGUUCAUUUGGAGAGGCAUGGACAUGAACUCAUGGGAAGCAUGUUAAUGCAUUGGUCAGAGUCAAGUUACCACGAUUGUAUGCUUUUGUUAUUUCCAAAUGAUUCUGCUCACUUGUUCUCUUGGAGAGGAAUGGAUGUGAAAACGGCGGGGGCAAGUAUUGUUAUUAGCCAGAGUCACGUUUGUCCACGGGUGUGUUACAAGCAUUUUCUCUGGCGAGUCACUAUGAGGUGCGUGGAAGUGAAGCCGAGUUGGCACUGUGUUGCCAAUGCAACAGGCACACUACUCGCGCUGUGUAUGGAAAUGUUUUCCUUCCUUUUUUGUGGAGAGUUGCGGUGGUGCGUUCUAGGGAGGCCCUGUUUGUUAUUAGAGAGAGUCACGUUGCAUGGUUCUUUGUGUUCCAAAUGAUUCCGCUCGCCAGUUCAUUUGGAGAGGCAUGGACAUGAACUCAUGGAAAGCAUGUUAACGCAUUGGUCUGAGUCAAGUUACCACGGUUGUAUGCUUUUGGUAUUUCUGAAUGAUUCCGCUCGCUCGUUCUCUUGGAGAGGAAUGGAUGUGAAAACGACGGGGGCAAGUAUUGUUAUUAGCGAGAGUCACGUUUGUCCACGCGUGUGUUACAUGCAUUUUCUCUGGCGAGUCACUGUGAGGUGCAUGGAAGUGAAGCCGAGUUGGCACUGUGUUGCCAAUGCAACAGGCACACUACUGGCGCUGUGUAUGGAAAUGUUUUCCUUCCUUUUUUGUGGAGAGUUGCGGUGGUGCGUUCCAGGGAAGCACUGUUUGUUAUUAGAGAGAGUCACAUUGCAUGGUUCUUUGUGUUCCAAAUGAUUCCGCUCGCUAGUUCAUUUGGAGAGGCAUGGACAUGAACUCAUGGAAAGCAUGUUAACGCAUUGGUCUGAGUCAAGUUACCAUGGUUGUAUGCUUUUGGUAUUUCCGAAUGAUUCCGCUCGCUCGUUCUCUUGGAGAGGAAUGGAUGUGAAAACGGCGGGGGCAAGUAUUGUUAUUAGCGAGAGUCACGUUUGUCCACGCGUGUGUUACAUGCAUUUUCUCUGGCGAGACACUGUGAGGUGCGUGGAAGUGAAGCCGAGUUGGCACUGUGUUGCUAAUGCCACAGGCAGACUACUGACGCUUUCUAUGGAAAUGUUUUCCUUGUCGACUCGUUCCUUUUCUAUGGAGAGUCGCGGUUGUGCAUUGCCGGGAGGCACUGUUUGUUAUUAAAGAGCGUCACGUUCGUGCCUGCGUGUGUUACGGACGUUUUCACUAAGGUGUCACCUCGAGAAGCAUGCAAGUUAAUUCACGGAUAUAGUAAGAUUUUGAUAUAAAUACCAUUUCAAAAAAUGGCAAUGUAUAAUAGUAUGAAUUUGACAGUAAUUUCUCCGGAAUACAGUCAGACGUAUACAGUAAGUUAACUGUGUUUGAGAUGUUUUUUAUUGAAUAUGUACGGACCAUUUGAAAGAAGUUGAGUGAUUGUAGUGUGGACGAACGAACGGGGAGACGAAAUGAUAGUACUUGUGUUUCCCAGGCGUCCAGAGUUCGAGGUAUUUAAGAGAGAUUGUGAGAAUUCGAGGCGUCGGUUACUUUGUUUGACCAUCUGACCGGUGUGCAUGUGUUAUAAAAAGGUACCUACUCAUGGAACACUCCGCGUCCACAAUUCUCCAAAGACAGGAACCUCUUUCUAUCUUGUAGCUCCUUGCUUGUGCCAUGGCAGGUAAGAGGGGUUCUGGGUGUUCAAGCAACCACGCAGCGAGGACCAAAGCCGCAGAAAGAAGGGAGAGGUCCCGCCACUACGCUGUAGCGGCGGCAUGGAUAUCUGCUACGUCUUGAGCUUGCGUUGGUUUUCCCCGAAGAGGAAGGGAUGAUGCAGCAGAGUAGCGUAAGUAUUUCCCUCAGUUUUUGAGAACCAAGGUAUCAAUCCAGUAGGAGCCCACGCUCAAGUCCCUCGUACCUGCACAAAGCGAUAGCUACUCGCAACCAACAUGAUUAGGGGUUGUCAAUCCCUUCACGGUCACUUACGAGAGUGAGAUCUGAUAGAUAUAAUACUUUUGGUAUUUUUGGUAUAAAGAUGCAAAGUAAAAAGUAAGGCAAAGUAAAAAAGCAAAGCAAGAUUAAAGUGAUGGAGAUUGAUAUGAUGAGAAUAGACCUGAGGGCCAUAGGUUUCACUAGUGGCUUCUCUCAAGAGCAUAAGUAUUAUACGGUGGGUGAACAAAUUACUGUUGAGCAAUUAACAGAAUUGAGCAUAGUUAUGAGAAUAUCUAGGCAUGAUCAUGUAUAUAGGCAUCACGUCCGUGACAAGUAGAUCGAAACGAUUCUGCAUCUACUACUAUUACUCCACUCAUCGACCGCUAUCCUGCAUGCAUCUAGAGUAUUAAGUUAAAAACAGAGUAACACCUUAAGCAAGAUGACAUGAUGUAGAGAGAUAAAUUCAUGCAAUAUGAAAUAAACCCCAUCUUGUUAUCCUCGAUGGCAACGAUACAAUACGUGCCUUGCUGCCCCUUCUGUCACUGGGUAAGGACACCGCAAGAUCGAACCCAAAGCUAAACACUUCUCCCAUGGCAAGAACUACCAAUCUAGUUGGCCAAACCAAACGGAUAAUUCGAUGAGACUUGUAAAGAUAACCAAUCAUACAUAAAAGAAUUCAGAGAAUAUUCAAAUAUUAUUCAUAGAUAGACUUGAUCAUAAACCCACAAUUCAUCGGUCUCAACAAACACACUGCAAAAAUAAGAUUACAUCGAAUAGAUCUCCACAAGAGAGGGGGAGAACUUUGUAUUGAGAUUCAAAGAGAGAGAAGAAGCCAUCUAGCUACUAACUAUGGACCCGAAGGUCUUAGGUAAACUACUCACACUUCAUCGGAGGGGCUAGGAUGAUGUAGAAGCCCACUGUGAUGACGGCCCUCUUUCGGCGGAGCUCCGGAAUAGGCCGCAAGAUGGGAUCUCGUGGAUACAGAAAGUUGCGGCGGUGGAAUUAGGUUUUUGGCUCCUGUUCUGAUCGUUUGGGGGUACGUGUGUAUAUAUAGGAGGAAGAAGUACGCUGGAGGAGCAACGAGGGGCCCACGAGGCAGGGGGCGCGCCCCCACCCUCGUGCCACCCUUGUGACCGCCUCUUUUGUUCCUUGGAGCAGGGUCCAAGUCUCCUGGAUCACGUUCGGUGAUAAAAUCACGUUCCCGAAGAUUUUAUUCCAUUUGAACUCCGUUUGAUAUUCUAUUUCUUCGAAACACUGAAAUAGGCAAAAAAAACAACAAUUCUAGGCUGGGCCUCCGGUUAAUAGGUUAGUCCCAAAAAUAAUAUAAAAGUGGAAAAUAAAGCCCAAUAUAGUCCAAAACAGUAGAUAAUAUAGCAUGGAGCAAUCAAAAAUUAUAGAUACGUUGGAGACGUAUCAUGCACCCCCAAGCUUAAUUCCUGCUCGUCCUCGAGUAGGUAAAUGAUAAAAAGAGAAUUUUUGAUGUGGAGUGCUACUUGGCAUAAUUUCAAUGCAAAUCUUCUUAAUUGUGGUAUGAAUAUUCAGAUUAGAAAGAUUCAAGACAAAAGUUUAUAUUGACAUUAAAAAUAAUAAUACUUCAAGCAUACUAAUAAAGCAAUUAUGUCUUCUCAAAAUAACAUGGCCAAAGAAAGUUAUCCCUACAAAAUCAUAUAGUCCGGUUAUGCUCCAUCUUCACCACACAAAGUAUUUAAAUCAUGCACAACCCCGAUGACAAGCCAAGCAAUUGUUUCAUACUCUAACUUUUUCAAAACUUUUUCAAUCUUCACGCAAUACAUGAGUGUGAGCCAUGGAUAUAGCAUUGUAGGUGGAAUAGAAUGGUGGUUGUGGAGAAGACAAAAAGGAGAAGAAGGUCUCACAUCAACUAGGCGUAUCAACGCGCUAUGGAGAUGCCCAUCAAUAGAUAUCAAUGUGAGUGAGUAGGGAUUGCCAUGCAACGGAUGCACUAGAGCUAUAAGUAUAUGAAAGCUCAAAAAGAAACUAAGUGGGUGUGCAUCCAACUUGCUUGCUCACGAAGACCUAGGGCAAUUUUUGAGGAAGCCCAUCAUUGGAAUAUACAAGCCAAGUUCUAUAAUGUAAAAUUCCCACUAGUAUAUGAAAGUGAUAACAUGAGAGACUCUCUACUAUGAAGAUCAUGGUGCUACUUUGAAGCACAAUUGUGGUAAAAGGAUAGUAACAUUGUCCCUUAUCUAUUUUUCUCUCAUUUUUUUAUUUGGGACUUUUCUGUUUUUUAUGGCCUCCCCUUUUUUUAUUUGGGCUUCUUUGGCCUCUUUUUUUCUUUUUUUCUUUUUCGUCCGGAGUCUCAUCCCGACUUAUGGGGGAAUCAUAGUCUCCAUCAUUCUUUCCUCACUGGGACAAUGCUCUAAUAAUGAUGAUCAUCACACUUUUAUUUUUCUUAUAACUCAACAAUUACAACUCGAUACUUAGAACAAAAUAUGACUCUAUGUGAAUGCAUCCAGCGGUGUACCGGGAUAUGCAAUAUGAUAAUGAUGAAUGUGUCAUGAACGGAACGGUGGGAAGUUGCAUGGCAAUAUAUCUCGUAAUGGCUAUGGAAAUGCCAUAAUAGGUAGGUAUGGUGGCUGUUCUGAGGAAGGUAUAUGGUAGGUGUAUGAUACCGGUGAAAGGUGCGCGGUAUUAGAGAGGCUAGCAAAGGUGGAAGGGUGAGAGUGCGUAUAAUCCAUGGACUCAACAUUAGUCAUAAAGAACUCAUAUACUUAUUGCAAAAAUCUAGAAGUUAUCAAAGCAAAGUAUUACGCGCAUGCUCCUAGGGGGAUAGAUUGGCAGGAAAAGACCAUCGCUCAUCCCCGACCGCCACUCAUAAGGAACACAAUCAAUAAAUAAAUCAUGCUCCGACUUCAUCACAUAACGGUUCACCAUACGUGUAUGCUACGGGAAUCACAAACUUUAACACAAGUAUUCUUUAAAUUCACAACUACUCAACUAGCAUGACUUUAAUAUUUUCACCUCCAUAUCUCAAAACAAUUAUCAUGCUUCAAUCUUUUCUUAGUAUUCAACACACUCAAAAGAAAGUUUCAUAAAUCUUGAAUACCAAGCAUAUUAUUAUUAAGAAAAUUACCAUGCUAUUAAGAGAUUCUCAAAAUAAUUUAAGUGAAGCAUGAGAGAUCAAUAGUUUCUUUAAAACGAAUCCACCACAGUGCUCUAAAAGAUCUAAGUGAAGCACAUAGAGCAAAAUUAUAACGCUCGAAAGAUAUAAGUGAAGCACAUAGAGCAAAAUUAUCUUAGCUCAAAAGAUAUAAGUGAAGCACAUAGAGUAUUCUAUCAAAUUUUAAUUCAUGUAUGGCUCUCUCAAAAGGUGUGUACAGCAAGAAUGAUUGUGGCAUACUAAGACACAAAGACACAAAUAAUACAAGACGCUCCAAGCAAAACACAUAUCAUGUUGGUGAAUAAAAAUAUAGCUCCAAGUAAAUUACCGAUGGAAGUGGACGAGGACGACGAGGAAGGCGUGCGCACCACUGCCGCUGGGUUCUCCGCCACCGCCCGAUUCGCCACCGACGCCCGCGGGCACCUCCGCGCCGCCGCACGCCUCCCCGGCCGGCGCCCCAUCUCCGGCCGACCGGAUCCGGCAAGGGAGCGGCCUGAUCCGGCCGGAGCCUUCACACCGGCGCUGCCUCGAGCCUCCACGGCCGCCUCCUUCUUCCUCCCUAGCACAUGUCUGGCCAGAUCCGUCGCCGCCUCAUUUUCUAUGCCGCGGUCAACCCUAAUCCGUGAGGUGGUGAAUUUCUCUAAGUCCUCAGUUUGCAACAUUUUUAGCUCCUGUUCAUCGCAUGAUAUCUUUGCACCAGUAGCUCCGUUUUGGGCAUGUACCAUAUCGAAUUGUUUGUCUGGUUGUCAUCUUCAUUUCAUUCCAUUGCACCAUGUUUAUUUGAGUUCAUCUUGUUGCCCUAAAUGUUGUUGCAAGAGUGCUAUGUAAUGUUAGUUUCUGUUUCUUAUCAGAUUAUGGACAUUUGUCAUUUUUGUCAUGAUUAAUGUGUGCUGCAUAUGAGCAUGGGCUCUACAUGUGUCUUGUUAUAUGCCAUGCCAUCUUUACAGGGGUGUAUGCCAUGUAUUUUUGUGAUCAUUGUGGUGACUAGCGCAAGCAUGCAAAGUAGCUAUCGUGAUGUUGCUGAUUUCAGGGACUUAGAAUUUCACCAAGUCCUUUUCCUGCUGAUAUUUUUAUGCCAUGUAUUCUUGUUGCUACAGAGUGAUCCAUGCCUCUUUUUACCAUGUUCAGUAAGUAUGAUUUUGAGAAAUUGUUAUGCUCUAUACAUCCAUGUCUUUAGUUGCAAUUAUGGAGUACCCUAGCAUGACUCAAUCUUGCUCUACUUUUGCUAUAAAAUGUUCCUAGCAGAUUGUUUACAUCUUAAUCAAUUUUGCCAAGGUUGGUGUAGUUGAUCCAUGCAUGCUAUGAGAUUGUUCUUGCCAUGUUUAGCUUCUUCAUCAUGUCUUCUUGCUGGUAGUAUGCUUAGUUUGUCAUGCAAUGCCUUGUGUUGAGUGCAUCGAGCUCGCAAACAUGUCUACGUACUUCUGUUUAUGCCAUGCCUAGUUUUCUGCCAAGUCUGAAUCUGUUAACGAAACUUGCUAUGUUCACAUGGUUGCCAUUCUAUCUUCUGAUACCUUUUGGCUUAUGGUCAGUAAGGGACUUUUGUUAUAUGCUUUGAGUAGUUUCAUACCAUGCCUUGCUUUGCCAUGAUAUGUUCCUGUAGCAUGUUGUUAUCUUGCUCUAAACAUUGCUUCCUGAUGUUAAUUUCUGACAUGUUGUUAUUUUCACUAAGUCUGAGAUGUUGUUAUCUUUUGCACUUUUGUCAUGCUUGUUUGAACAUGCUCUUGUGUGAUUUAGCCAUAGCUCAGUAUUCAUCUUUUGUCAAGCAUCUUGAGUAUAUCACUACCAUGUGCUUUGUUGCUAUGUUGGAGUGCAGUAGCUUAGUUUCUUGUUGCAUUUUAGAUAGCAUCGUGUUGUUAAUCACAGAUUAGUGCCAUUAUUGUUUUGCUUGCCAUUUGCAAACCGUGCAUCCGAUUCCGGUGAUCUUUAUAUUGAUUCCGACUGAAAUCAACUCAUCUUUCCAGCGGCACUCUUGGUUUGCCAAGUUGAGGCCUGAUUCAAUCUUUUCCUUUCGGAGAUCGCAUAUACAUUGCAUUUCACAUCCCGCAUAUCAUGCCAUGUUUUGCACCAUGUUGCUUGCGCAUUGCACCGUGGUUGAUUGUUGUUUCCUUUGCUUGUGUUCUUGCCUUGGGUAGAGCCGGAGACGAGUUCGUGUUCGAGGUACCCAUUGAGUUCGUUUACGAGGAUCAAGCUUUUCGUCUUCUCGGAGAACUUUGCAGGCAAGAUGACCAUACCCUCGAAAUCACUUCUAUCUUUGCUUGCUAGUUGCUCGCUCUAUUGCUAUGGCUAUGCUGCGAUACCUAGCACUUGCUAUAUCAUGCCUCCCAUAUUGCCAUGUCAAACCUCUAACCCACCUUGUCCUAGCAAACCGUUGUUUGGCUAUGUUACCACUUUGCUCAGCCCCUCUUAUAGCGUUGCUAGUUGCAGGUGAAGAUGGAGUUUGUUCCUUGUUGGAACAUGAUUUUUGUUGGGAUAUCACAAUAUCUCUUAUUUUAAUUAAUGCAUCUAUAUACUUGGUAAAGGGUGGAAGGCUCGGCCUUAUGCCUGGUGUUUUGUUCCACUCUUGCCGCCCUAGUUUCCGUCAUACCGGUGUUAUGUUCCUUGAUUUUGCGUUCCUUACACGGUUGGGUUAUAAUGGGAACCCCUUGACAGUUCGCCUUGAAUAAAACUCCUCCAGCAAGGCCCAACCUUGGUUUUACCAUUUGCCACCUAGCCUUUUUCCCUUGGGUUCUGCAGACUCAAGGGUCAUCUUUAUUUUAACCCCCCUGGGCCAGUGCUUCUCUAAGUGUUGGUGCAACCUGAGCGAUGUCCGGCGCCCCCUGGGCAACCAGGGUUUAUGCCAACCCGACGUCUUGCUCAUUCGGUGUGCCCUGAGAACGAGAUAUGUGCAACUCCGAUCGGGAUUUGUCAGCACAUCUGGGUGGCUUCGCUGGUCUUGUUUUACCAUUGUCGAAAUGUCUUGUAACCGGGAAUCCGAGCCUGAUCGGGUCUUCCUGGGAGAAGGAAUAUCCUUCGUUGACCGUGAGAGCUUGUGAUGGGCUAAGUUGGGACAGACACCCCUGCAGGGUUUUGAACUUUCGAAAGCCGUGCCCGCGGUUAUGGGCAUAUGGGAAUUUGUUAAUGUACGGUUGUAGAGAACUUGACACUUAACAUAAUUAAAAUGCAUCAAUCGCGUAUGUAGCCGUGAUGGUCUCUUUCCGGCGGAGUCCCAGAAGUGAACACGGUGUUGGAGUUAUGCUUGAACAUAAGUAGACUUGGAUCACUUCUUGAUCAUAGAUUCCCGAACGUGCUUUGCCUUCUCUUCUCGCUCUCAUUUGUGUAUGUUAGCCACCAUAUAUGCUAGUGCUUGCUGCAGCUCCACCUCAUACCUUUUCCCUACCCAUAAGCUUAAAUAGUCUUGAUCGCGAGGGUGUGAGAUUGCUGAGUCCCCGUGACUCACAGAUUACUUCCAAAACAAGUUUGCAGGUGCCGAUGAUACCGUGUAGGUGAUGCAACCGAGCUCAAGGAGGAGCUCGAUGAAGAUCUCGUUCAUUGUGUUGUUUCGUUUCCAGUUGAUCAGUAGUGGAGCCCAGCCGGGGCGAUCGGGGAUCUGUUGCACUAGGGGUUGUCUUUCCUUUUGGUUCCGUAGUCGGACCUUGAUUGUAUUCUGGUUGUUGUAAUGCUAUAUUUAUGUUAUUGUGUGAAGUGGCGAUUGUAAGCCAACUAUGUAUCCCUUUCUUAUUCAGUACAUGGGAUGUGUAAAGAUUAGCCCUCUUGCGACAUGCCUACAAUGCGGUUAUGCCCCUAAGUCGUGCUCCGACACAUGCGAGAUAUAGCCGCAUCGUGGGUGUCACAGCGUCUUCUGCGGCUCCGCAUCGUCCCCUUCCUAGGCCUCACCGUCGCCCACCGCCAUGGUGCUCUCGGCGUGGCGUGGUCAAUGUGGUCUACGACAGACUUCCAUCGGAAGAGUACUGUACGUGGAGAGGCUGACAGUUGGGUCCAUAGUCGCAGCAAGGAAGUGCCUCCUUAUUAUGUGAAAAAUAAUGAUUCCUCCACCUGAUAGCUGGGACCCACCAGAUGGGCCACCGUAUUUUGCAAAAAAACAUUUCCCCCCUGACUGCUGGGACCCACCAGCUACAUCUUCGCACGCAAGGAAGUGCGUGAUAAUCCCCAAGUGCAGGGAAUCAUCAUAGCAAUUCCCAAAGGUGGAAGUGAUAAGUAUGGAGUGUCGAACCCACAAGGAGCUAAAGGUAAGAUCAAUAUUCUCUCAAGUCCUAUCUGUCACUGAUACGACUCUACGUACACCGAACAUUUGCUUCCAACUAGAAACGAGAAAUAAAACUACGUUGUGGGUAUGAAGAGGAUAACUUUGCAUGAUAUCAGAGAGCUAAAAUAUAAAAGUAGGUGUUGUUAUCAUAAAGUUAGAAUAUAUAACUAAAUAUUAUAAAUAGCGAGUGUGGAAUAAUGAUGGGUCGGUGUGCGGAAUUAUCCUAGGCAAUCGUUAACAAGACCGGUGGUCGUCAUUGCAAUUUCAUAUGAGGGAGAGGCUCAAGCUAACAUACUUUCUCUUCUUGGAUCAUAUGCACUUAUGAUUGGAACUCUAGCAAGAAUCCGCAACUACACAAUAACCUCCUGAUAAAGGUUGGUACUCGCCCACGGAUUUCAUCCAUAUGACUGAGCUUUGUCAUCUCUAUUGGUGUUGUGUUACUGUUUAGAUACUGUCAUGAGAAAGUGGUAUUGUCCUUGAGAAGUGCUUCAUCUGUGUUUUUUUUAAUAUUUCCUUUCCUUUCUUCGAGCAAACAGGGAUGCUAGAAUUUAGUUGUUCUCUUGUCUUUGCACAACAGGAUCAUCCUCCUCUGAAGAAGAAUAUGGAGUACGUGAAGUGCGUAGUUCCGAUUAUGCCAGGAUAAAGAAGCCAAGCCUCUCUUCAUAAGAAGGGAGCAGUUGAAGGAUGGUUACAUUAUUGCCCACAAGAACAAACUAACUUCAGCUCAUAAGGACUCACGGAUCUCCAUCUUUGUUGCUGUGAUGGCCAGUACAAUGUUGUUUUACGAUUCCUUCCGGUGAGUCCCAAUUUUUAAAUGUGUGCUCUACAUGGAUCAUGUAGGUUGACUGUUUAAACUAUCAAUUCAUAGUACAGUUUGCUUUAUACUAAUCACUUUUUUGUAUUUAUGCAAAUAGGGGUGCUCAGCUUGAUUUCAAUGGGAACUGCACAAAAUGUUCACGAAUACAUCGGAAGGUGCUGUUAUCAUAGAUGUAGAAUAUAUUACUAAAUAUUAUAAAUAGCGAGUGUGGAAUAAUGAUGGGUCGGUGUGCGGAAUUAUCCUAGGCAAUCGUUAACAAGACCGGUGGUCGUCAUUGCAAUUUCAUAUGAGGGAGAGGCAUAAGCUAACAUACUUUCUCUUGUUGGAUCAUAUGCACUUAUGAUUGGAACUCUAGCAAGCAUCCGCAACUACUAAAGAUCAUUAAGGGAAAACCCAACCAUAGCAUUAAAGCAUCAAGUCCCCUUUAUCCCAUAUGCAACAACCCCCUUACUCGGGUUUAUGCAUCUGUCACUCAAGCAACCCACUAUAAGCGAAUCAUGAACGUAUUUCAACACCCUACAGCGGGAAUCCCUCACGCUUGGGCGACAGGAAGGGCAGAAUAGGACAGCACCAAAAUAAAACAUACAACUCAUACCAAUCUAGAUCAACAAUCAACCCAAAGACAAAGGAUAUCUACUCAAAACAUCAUAGGAUAGCAACACAUCAUUGGAUCAUAAUAUGUGGCAUAAAGAACCAUGUUCAAGUAGGGAUUACAGCGGGAUGUGGGAGAGUGGACCGUGUAAAAGAGACGAGGAUGGUGAUGAUGAUGGUGAUGUUGAUGAAGAUGAUCACCGCGGUGAUGAUUCCCCUCCCGAUGGCACUCCGGCGCCACAGAGAGAGAGGAGGGGAGGUUCUCCCCCUUGUGCUUCCUCCUCCAUGGCCUCCCCCUAGGAUGGGGAGAGGUUCUCCCUCUCGAUCUUGGCCUUCAUGACGAUGAUGGCCCCUCCAAGAUCCUCCUCCAUAGCCUCCGGUGAUGAUGGCCCCCUCCGGCAGGGUGCCAAAGAGGGCCUAGAUUGAUUUCUCGUGGCUACAGAGGCUUGCGGCGGCGGAACUUCCGAUCUAGGUUAAUUUCUGGAGGUUUGGGUAUUUAUAGGAGACGUUGGCCUCGAGAAUAAAUCAAGGGGCCCCAUGGGUAGUCCAUGAGUCACAGGGGGGCGCCCCCACCCUCAUGGGGCCCAUGAUACUCCUCUCCGGUUGAUUUUUGUUCCAGUAUUUUUUAUAUUUUCCAAAAAAAAUCUCUGUUGAUUUUUAUCGCAUUCCGAGAACUUUUAUUUCUGCACAAAAAUAACACCAUGGUAGUUCUGCUGAAAACAGCGUCAGUCCGGGUUAGUUUUAUUCAAAUCAUACCAAAAUCAUAUAAAACAAUUGUGAACUUGGCAUGAAUACUUCAUAAAUUAACGAUACGUUGGAGACGUAUCAGCAUCCCCAAGCUUUAUUCCUGCUCGUCCUCGAGUAGGUAAAUGGUAAAAGAAAUAAUUUAUGAAGUGUGAAUGCUAGCAAGUGCUUAAAUUUGAUCAAUGAUAAUUUCAAUUACUUUUUAUAGCAUCAUUAUAUAUCAUAACAGCAGCUCAACUCAUAAAACUUCUCAUGAUCAAGUAACAAGCUAUUCACAUGUUAAAUUAUAGAUCAUAAACUUUCUUGAAAACUAACAAACCGUGCUCUUAGUCGUCAAACAAUUGCAAUUCAUCUUAUUUUCGGGAAGGGUCUAUGUAAGAGCUUUGAUUCAGCAAACUCCACAUACUCAACUAUCAUUUAAUAUUUCACAAUUGCUUACACUCAUGUGAUAUUUAUGGGUUCAAAAUUUUAAUCGGACACAGAAAAAGAAGGGGCUUAUAGUUUCGCCUCCCAACCUUUUACCUCAAGGGUAAUGUCAACAAUAAUAAUUUAUGAAAAGGAAAGGUAUAGGACAAAAAUAAAAGAUAGGCCCUUCACAGAGGGAAGCAGAGUUUGUCAUGUGUUUUUAUGGUUGGAUGCACGAAAUCUUAGUGCAAAAGAACGUCACUUUAUAUUGCCACUUGUGAUAUGGACCUUUAUUAUGCACUCUGUCGCUUUUAUUUCUUCCACAUCACAAGAUCGUAUAAAGCUUAUUUUCUCCAUACUAAUAGAUCAUACAUAUUUAGAGAGCAAUUUUUAUUGCUUGCAACAAUGACAACUUACUGGCAGGAUCUUACUCAAUCCAUAGGAAGAUAUGGUGGACUCUCAUAGCAAAACUGGGUUUAAGGAUACUCGGAAGCACAAGUAGUAUUUCUACUUGGUGCAAAGAAUUUGGCUAGCAUGAGGGGGAAAGGCAAGCUCAACAUGUUGGAUGAUCCAAGACAAUAUAACGUUUCGAAUAUAGGAAAACAUAACCCAUUAAGUUGUCUUCCCUGUCCAACAUCAACUUUUUUGUCAUAUUUUAAUGAGUGCUCACAAUUACAAAAUAUGUCCAAGAUUAGUAUAUUUAUAUGAUAAAUCUCUCUUCCUUCAAUGUUCUUUCAUGAAUUGUUCAAGUGACCAAUUCUGCGUUUGCUAACUUCCAAUAAGUUUACUACCUAUACUUAUUAUGUGUGAAGUCAUUACUCCCCAUGUUGUAAGCAUAUGAAACAUAUAUAAAUUCAGAUUUAUGAUAUUCAAUUCAUUCAACCAUUUACUCAUAGGAUAUAUGUGAAGCACGUGAGUAAAUGACAAACUACUCCAAAAAGAUAUAAGUGAAGAACACUGAGUAGUCAAAUAAUUAACUAGCCAUGGGAGGAUUCUUUUUAAUUCAAGAUUUCAGAUCCAAUGAUUUUAUUCAAACAUCAAGUAAAAUUGAAAAUACGCUCCAAGCAAAACACAUAUCACGUGACGAAUAAAAAUAUAGCUUCGAGUAAGGUAUACCGAUAGUUUUGAAGAUGAAAGAGGGGAUGACUUCCGGGGCAUCCCCAAGCUUAGGUGCUUGAGUCUUCCUUGAAUAUUACCUUGGGGUGCCUUGGGAAUCCCCAAGCUUAGGGUCUUUCCACUCCUUAUUCUCCUCAUAUCGAUAUCUCACCCAAAGCUUGAAAACUUCAAUCACACAAAACUUAAUGGAACUUCGUGAGAUAGGUUAGUGUGAUAAAGAGUAAACCAUUCACUUUGGUACUGUCAAAGACAAGAUUCAUAAUUUUUCUCACACAAUGCCUACUUUACCAUAUCAUUUCAACAAUUUAUAUUGAGAAAUAUAAGCCAUGGAAACUAGAAAACAAGCAAACUAUGCAAUGAAAACAGAAUCUGUCAGAAACAGAACAGUCUAUAAUGAUAUGAACACCAACCAUAAUUCUGCUACUCCAAAAAUUAUGAAAUAAAUUGGUGGAUGUGAGGAAUUUGUCUAUUAAUCUUCUGAAAAUAGAAUCAACUAAAUCGCACUCUUCUGUAAAAAAUGACAGCUGAUUCGUGAGCUCAAAGUUUCUGUUUUUUACAGCAAGAUCACAUUAACUUUCACCCAAGUCUUCCCAAAGGUCUUACUUGGCAUUUUAUUGAAAAAAGCUAUAAUACAUGAUUAAUACAAUAGCUUAAUCAUGAGAGCACACAAAAACAGUAAGGUUAAAUAUUGGGUUGUCUCCAAACAAGCGCUUUUCUUUAAUGCCUUUUAGCUAGGCAUGAUGAUUUCAAUGAUGCUCACAUAAAAGAUAAGAAUUGAAACAUAAAGAGAGCAUCAUGAAAAAUAUGACUAGCACAUUCGAACCUAACUCACUUCCUAUGCCUAGGGAUUUUUUGAGCACACAAUUUAUGGGAACAUGAAUCAACUAGCAUAGGAAGGCAAAACAAGUAUAACUUCAAAACUUUAAGCACAUAGAGAGGAAACUUGAUAUUAUUGCAACUCCUACAAGCAUGUAUUCCUCCCUCAUAAUAAUUUUCAGUAGCAUCAUGAAUGAUUUCAACAAUAUAACCAGCACAUAAAGCAUUCUGUUCAUGAUCUACAAGCAUACAAAUUUUACUAGUCUUCACAUAAGCAAAAUUCUUCUCAUUCGGAAUAGUAGGAGCAACCUUCUUCUAAAUCCACUUUAGAUGAUAGUACUAUUCAUACUCCAAAAGAUAUAAGUGAAGUUCAUGGAGCAUCCUACAAUUAAUAUAGACUAACCAAUAUCCAAGCCCAAAAUAUAUAAGUGAAGCACACAAAGCAUUCUAUAAAACCAUACUCAAAAGAUUUAAGUGAAGCACAGAGAGCAAUUCUAUAAGAUCAUACUUAAAAGAUAUAAGUGAAGCACAUGAAGUGUUCUAUAAAUCAAUAAAGGGCUAUCUCAUACUAGCAUAGUUCUUAAAGGAAAAACAAAAAAACACAAAGGACACAAAUCAUGUGAACAAAACAAAAAUCGAGGUAUGCCGAUAAUUGUUGAAGAAGAAAGAUGGGAUGCCAACCGGGGCAUCCCCAAGCUUAGAUGCUUGAGUAUCCAUAGAAUAUUUACUUGGGUUGCCUUGGGCAUCCCCAAGCUUGAGCUCUUGCCUCUCUUUAUUCUUCUCACAUCGGUAACUCCUUGUUCUGCGAACACUUCAUCCACACAAAACUUUAACAAAAACUUUGUGAGAUCCGUUAGUAUAAUAAAGCGAAUCACUACCUUUAGGUACUGUUGCAAACUCAUUCCAAUUUCAUAUUAGAACUAUACAUACUGUAUUCCAACUUCACCAUGGUUCAUACCCCCCCCCCCCCGAUACUACCCAUAGAUUCAUCGAAAUAAGCGAUCAACACAUAAAAAAAGAAUCUAUCAAAAACAUGACAGUCUGUAGUAAUCUGGAAGUUUAGUCUACUUCUGUAACUCCAAAAAAUUCUACAAAUAUAUGACAAUUUAAACAAUUUGUACAUAAGUAAUGUGCAAAAAAAUUCAGACCCAUUUGACUUUCUAGUAAAAAAUGUAAAAUCACGCGCUAUAAACAAAGUUUCUGUUUUUUACUGCACAUAGUAAACAAGCAAUCUAAUCAUCCUAAAACCGAAGCUUGGCACAUUAUUUUUAUUAUACAAUGGAUAUAUACAAGGGGAUAAUUGUUUUCAGAGAAGCUUCCAUGAAAAAAUUUACAUUGAAAAACUUUUUAGGUAUGAGUGGCGAGUAAUUUUUUUGUAUUUCCAUUAUUUUAAUUUUUUUUGUAUAUUUCACCCACAACUAAACAGAAACAAAAAGGAAAAAUAAAAUCUACUAAGUGAAGAAAGCAAACAAGCACACAUGAGAAUAUCAACCCCACGCUAUUGCUCCACAGCAACGGCGCCAGAAAAGAGCUUGAUAAUCCCCAAGUGCAGGGAAUCAUCAUAGCAAUUCCCAAAGGUGGAAGUGAUAAGUAUGGAGUGUCGAACCCACAAGAAGCUAAAGGUAAUAUCAAUAUUCUCUCAAGUCCUAUCUGCCACUGAUACGACUCUAUGUACACCGAACGUUUGCUUCCAACUAGAAACGAGAAAUAAAACUAUGUUGUGGGUAUGAAGAGGAUACCUUUGCAUGAUAUCGGAGAGCUAAAAUAUAAAAGUAGGCAUUGUUAUCAUAAAGUUAGAAUAUAUUACUAAAUAUUAUAAAUAACGAGUGUGGAAUAAUGAUGGGUCGGUGUGCGGAAUUAUCCUAGGCAAUCGUUAACAAGACCGGUGGUCGCCAUUGCAAUUUCAUAUGAGGGAGCAUAAGCUAACAUACAUUCUCUUCCUGGAUCAUAUUCACUUAUGAUUGGAACUCUAGCAAGCAUCCGCAACUACUAAAGAUCAUUAAGGUGAAACCCAACCAUAGCAUGAAAGCAUCAAGUACCCUUUAUCCCAUACGCAACAACCCCCUUACUCGGGUUUAUGCUUCUGUCACUCAAGCAACCCACUAUAAGAGAAUCAUGAACGUAUUGCAACACCCUACUGCGGGAAUCCCUCAUGCUUGCACGACACGGAGGGCACAAUAGGACAGCACCAAAAUAAAACAUACAACUCAUACCAAUCUAGAUCAUCAAUCAACCCAAAGACAAAGGAUAUCUACUCAAAACAUCAUAGGAUAGCAACACAUCAUUGGAUCAUAAUAUGUGGCAUAAAGCACCAUGUUCAAAUAGGGAUUAUAGCGGGGUGCGGGAGAGUGGACCGCGUAAAAGAGAUGAGGAUGGUGAUGAUGAUGGUGAUGUUGAUGAAGAUGAUCUCCGCGGCGAUGAUUCCCCUCCCGAUGGCACUCCGGCGCCACCAAGAGAGAGGAGGAGAGGUUCUCCCCUUUGUGCUUCCUCCUCCAUAGCCUCCCCCCUGGAUGGGGAGAGGUUCUCGGUCUGGAUCUUGGCCUUCAUGGUGAUGAUGGCCCCUCCGGGAUCCUAUUCCAUAGCCUCCGGUGAUGAUGGCCCCCUCUGGCAGGGUGCCAGAGAGGGCCUAGAUUGAUUUCUCGUGGCUACAGAGGCUUGCGGCGACGGAACUUUCAUUCUAGGUUAAUUUCUGGAGGUUUGGGUAUUUAUAGGAGAGGUUGGCGUCGAGAACAAGUCAGGGGGGCCACGGGUAGUCCACGAAGCAUAGGGGCGCGCCCCCCACCCUCGUGGGGCCCACGGGGCUCCCCUCUGGUAGAUUUCUGUUCCAGUAUUUUUUAUAGUUUCCAGAAAAAUUCUCCGUUGAUUUUCAUCGCAUUCCGAGAACUUUUAUUUCUGCACAAAAACAACACCACGAUAGUUCUGCUGAAAACAGCGUCAGUCCGGGUUAGAUCUAAUGAAAUUAUACAAAAAUCAUAUAAAACUAUUGUAAACUUGGCAUGAAUACUUCAUAAAUUAUCGAUACGUUGGAGACGUAUCAUUGCGUCCAUAUUACGGGAAAAAUGAUUUGCCCCUGACUGCUAGGACCCACCAGCUACAUCUUCGCACGCAAGGAAAUGCCUGACAGUUGGGACCCACAGCGUCAAAGCGUACGUAUCGUUGUCAUUCUGGUCGCGAACAUGUACGUACAUACUGGUCGAUCGUUUGUCUGCAGGCUGCAGCGAUGAACCGUGGCCGUGCAAGGAAGGGCACAUGUCAUAGUAGAGGCGCGCACGUAGCAUGUACACGUACGUACAACGGCCAGGGUGCAAGAAAGAAAAUACGGCCACGUACGUACAUACGGGCGGGGUCUCUAAUGCCUACUCGCGCAUACGUACGGCCAGGGUGUGUGUACAUGGCUGGGUCGGAACGGACAAACCGCGUUGUCUCGUGUUCAUGGGGAGGCAACAGAAUGCUUGUGUUCAUCGGGAGGCAACGGGACGCGUGUUGUUCAUCGGGAGCCAACCGGCUUGGAUGGAACAGCCGAUGGAAACGAGGCCUGACGUAUCGCAAAAUGGAGGAAACGGCCUGGUGUUCGACCGGCCACGGUCGAAACGGGGUCCUGUUCAUCGGGAGGGGUCUGGCGUACCGCAAAACGGAGGAAACGGACUUAUGUUGGACCUUCUAUGGUCGAAACGGGGUCCUGUUGACCGGGAGGGGUGUGGCGUACAAUAAAACGGAGGAAAUAGACUUGUGUUAGAGCGCUACGGUCGAAACGGGGGUCAUGUUCAUCGGGAGGGGUGUGGCGUACCACAAAACAGGACUCCACGGGAUACUGUUUAUCUCCACCGUCGACCUCCUCCAGCCUCCACGGGCUAUUGUUCAUCCACCGUCGACCUCCUCCAACCUCCACUUGUGACUGUUCAUCCACGGGCUUCUGUUCAUCCAUCCUCAACCGGCUACUGUUCAACCAGCCCUCUCCACGGGGUCCUGUUCAACCACCACUCCACGGGCUACUGUUCAUCCAGCCCUCCACCGGCUGCUGUUCAACCAGCCCUCCACCGGCUACUGUUCAACCAGCCCUCCAUGGGGUCCUGUUCAACCAGCCCUCCACGGGGUCCUGUUCAUCCACCGGCUCGAUUCAUCGGGGUACUGUUCAUCUAGCGGCAAUGGCCUCUACUACCACGGGUUCCUAUUCAUCCAACCUCCACCGGGAACUGUUCAUCCAAACCCCCCAACAACGCUCACUGUUCAUCUAGAGGCAGCAUCGAUCGGCUUCCGUUAGCAGCAGCAUCGAAGGAAUCGCUCGAUCGGGUUCAUUUAACAGCCAUCGAUCGAUUGCUCGGGUUCAAUAACGUGUAGCCUGCAGUGCAAUCGCUUGGGUUCAGUUAGAGCCCAAUGCCUUGCUCGGGUUCAGUUAGAGCGCAACGCCUUGCACACACACGCGUACGUAUGAGAGAAACGUGCAUCGCUCGGCCCCCGACCACCCACCGUACCGGGAACUCCCCGAUAUUUUCUGCGCCCUCGCUUCUACCACGGUUUUCUCCAUCAUGGACGGCCCAAAGAAUGUCAUGCAGCUGCGUCUCCGGCCCGCCCAGGACGAAAAGCCCAUUUUCUGUCAUGAUUUUUUGUCAUAGAAGUAGGAGCCCACCACAUCUAUGAUGAUACCGGGUUUUUUCACAAUUAUCUUCAUAGAAGUGUCAUAAGUAUAACAGGAAAAAAAUUCGUUCGGCCCAAAAUGUCACGGAUGUGUCUUUUUUUGUAGUGUACAAAUAUGUGAGUAGGGGCAGCCCUCCAAACACAGGCCCUUUCAUUGACAACCGUAGGUAUGAAGAGACCAAGACCUUAUUCUAGCAUGUCAUUGUGCCGUCACCUUACCACUAAGAAAACAACGAAGAGGUCGGGCCCCUACUCCGCUAGCUGUCGACGUAGCUGCCAAACAAAAGAAAGGAGGGAGGCGGAGAUGGCAGCGCCGGAGGAAUCCUAGGCGACAGUGACGGCAUGGGAUGAACCCUAGGCGGCGACGGCAGCAGCUGUUUUUCUCGCGAGGGAUCCUGCUACGUGAGUGCAAACCUUUUGGUCUGCAAACCAGUGGGUAUACAGAAAUAGAUGCGCUUGUAGAAAUUAUAGGAUGGAUGAAUAUUGUUGUUGUAUUGAUCUGACCCAGGUGUGGAAUAUAUAUAGAGUACAAUAUGAGAGAGAGACUUAGAGUAGGGGACAAGUCGUACAUGGUUUAAACCAAUCCUAUCUCUGACUCCUAAUCUCUAACUUAAACAUAAUUAUACUUUUAACAUUCCCCCUCAGUCGUAGUGGGAAUGAAGCGGACGAUGACGACUGAAUUUGAACUCUUGUACUUCCAUCGUCUUCUCCGCUACACCAUCAUCAACUGCGCCUCUAAUGGGUCGGCGCCGAGGGCGGUGACUGCGUCCCCUUUUGGUGCCUUCCUGCCUUCUCCUCUAUUCCCUCCCACAGUCACAGCGGGAGUGGCGUGGACGCUAGUGAUGAUGUGGACGUUGUUGACUGGAGUGGUUGCUGAUGUGUUGUUGUAGACGUAGCCAUUAAUUUCAAUGUCAAGGUAGCCGAUCAUGGUGAUGUAACCAUGGUCGAGGUAGUUGUGGUCGAUGGUGUGAUCGUCGUGGAUGAUGAAGCCGCACAAAGCCGGAGGUGCAAAAAAUGUGUUAUGAUGGAGCUGCAGUCAUGGACGAUGCACCUUGCGGAUGUGAGAGGGUGCCAUCGGCGAUGAGUCCACCGGUUUGGCCAAGACCAGAGGAAGACCAUCGAGCACACAUCAGUUUUGCCAGAACCGUGUGGCCAUGUAGGGUUGUCACUAUAGUGACACUGUGUCGAUGUAGUCGUGCCAUCGUGGAUGACGCGGUUAAUGCCGUCGUCAUGGCGCGGUCAUUGCCGUCGUCGAGGUCGCAUCUUGCAGAAAAAUCUAUCAGAGGACACUAGUUGUCCAUCUUGUGGACGAGGUAGCGAGCGGUGUGUCAAUGAUGAUGUUGGUGAAGACCACGUUGAUGAAGACCUUGGCGAUGAAGUGUCGGCUUGACACUGCAGCGGCGUGUCGAUGAUGAUUUGUCGCUUGGAGGCGUCCCUCAUGGCAACGGGGUGUCAAUGUCGUGUCGUGUCAAAGAAGUAUGUUGGCUCGUAGCCUGGCGUAGUCGUACUGCUCGAUGUCGUUCGGCACGGGAGGUGUCGGUGUAGUUGCAGAUCGGUAGCUUGAUGCAGGUUCGAUGCGUCGGUUCGAUAGACGUCCGCCAUGUGCAUGGUGUGGAAUCUGGCUCGGUGCUUUGAUACCAUGUAGAAUUAUAGGAUGGAUGAAUAUUGUCGUUGUAUUGAUCUGACCCAGGUGUGGAAUAUAUAUAGAGUAUGAUAUGAGAGAGAAACUUGGAGUAGGGGACAAGUCGUACAUGGUUUAAACCAAUCCUAUCUCUGACUCCUAAUCUCUAACUUAAACAUAAGCGGAUUUGCUAUUUCACAUCUAGAUGUGAAAUAGCUAUCUCACAUAUAAAUUCCUCAUUGUUGGAUUUGUUUUGUUUUCAAAAUUCGUGCACAUAUGAUCUGACGAUUUGUUCACUUUAAUUGUACGAUCUGGCGAUUUAUAGUGUGCGCUCACGCAGCCCGCACAGGAUGUGCAUGCGGCGUGCCAGCAUGGGCUAGCCCAUGUGUGUGCUAGCGUGAGAUGCCUUUCAUUUCUGUAUUUUUUUUCAUUUUUUGUCUAUUGUUGUAUUGUCUCGAUGCAUUGCAGUUGUUGCAGUUUGUGAGGUACUUUUUUGUCUUCUUUUCAUUUCUUUUCUCACCCUUGCGACACUAUAAUAUGUGUAUAUAUCAGAUGAUGUGUGCAGGCACCUCCUUUGUGUGUGUAUAUACCGUAUGAUUGGUCAUGCAUUUUUUUCGUUGUUUUGAUUUGUAUUCAUCUAUGCAACAUGUCCAUGGAAUAGUAAAUCAUGUAUCAAAAUUGCUACUCAUAUAGAUGUGUGUGAUGGCUCAUCUAAGUUUUAGUUCAUUUGAUUUGUCCCUAUAAAUUGUAUGCAAUUCUUUGAUCGGGGUUGUUUUGUCCCGUGCGUCAAGUGUCGCUCGUCUGUUGUUCAUUUUACACCCUAUCAUGUUGUGCGUCUUUCUUUUUUGGGCUGUUUUUCAUCGUCUUUUUUCGCUAUGUUGUAGUUGAAGAGAAGAGUUGUCUGUAUAAGUUGAAGAGAUGAGUUGACCGCUGGCUCAUUGGUUCUGUCUCUUGGCUCUCUCUAUCCCAUUGCUCUUUGUCUUGGGAGUAGAGGCGACCCGGCCAAGUUUCUAAACAGUACAAUGAUGGGCAACGACCCAUUUCUUGUUUUUAUUUUUUGUUUGCAAGUCUAACCCUAACAUGUAAGAACCUUCUGUCUUUUUAUUAUUCUUGUUCUAGUUGCAAGUCGAUCACCGACAUGCAUCUAGGCCCAAACCAUUUUGGUCUUUCUUGCAAGUGUACUCCUAACUGUGUUCACCGUUUUUUUUUAUUCUAGUUGCAAGUCGACCACCGACAUGCAAACUGGAGCUCGUCUCUUUUAUUUUUACUAGCACAAAUGCCCGUGCGUUGCAACGGGAGAGAAUUCUUUUUAGCAUGCACUCAAUUUUUCUAAGAAAUAUAUAUGCAAGCACAACCCCAUGUUUCGCUAUGAAGAAAGUGCUAGUUACCCUGUCCACCUAAACACCGAACUCAAAACAUCUGACUGCAUGGCACGGCAACAUCAGAACGUUGCCACCCAGGGAGGCGUUGCAAAGGGAUAUUAAUAUCCUUGAACCCACGCAUCUAAACAGAUAAAUAUCAAGCCAAAUAACUAUUACAAUAAACCGCUAAAUUCUGGCAUGCAAACGGAAGACAAUGACAAUCUCCAUUUAUCAAAGAACAAAAAAUUGUAUGAAACUAAAACAAUAAAUUUGGUCUCGUACUAUGAAUAAUUCAUAAUACAACAACAACUUAUCAGGUCAAGGGUACAAAUUAUUUCUAGUGAAGUGCAGAACCCAUGGGUGAUUGACCUUACAAAUAUGAUAAUUCUGGUAACAAAAUUGCUUGUCUUUUCCAUAUGUGCCAAAAUGAUCCUUGAUAGAACACAUGGAUAUAGUUCAAAAAUGAACCGAGGAUCAGAAGCUUGUGGAUUGACCCGUUUCAAAUUUAGUAUGAACAUGAGUAAAAUAAUUAUAAUAAUUUAUGACUGGACUGGAAAUGUGAUCUCCUCUGUGGAUCACACCUGCAAAAUAAUGAUAUAAUGUACUUGAAUCUAGGAAAAAACUUAUAUGUAAAAUUUUAGAUAAGACUAAUACCAAGCUGUGCAUGUCUAGUUGUCCUGCUGAGCUCCAUCUCAGCUACAAUCUCUGGACCAACUCACUUCUUAGCGAUCAACAAUGAGCGCAGGCAAGUCACUAUGACAACACAUGAAUGUCUCACAACAGAUGCAUCCAAUAAUUCAAACCAGCAGUUAAGCAUCACUAUGUACAUUGCCGAUGAAGACCCUAGUACAGUGUUGCUGAUUGAGAAAAUAAAUAUGCAAUGCCGAUGCUACUAUUUUCAGGUAUAUACACAGUACCAAAUAGAGGUAGAUUCAUCAGUGAAUAUGUGAGUCCUUGAUUGCACUGUCAUCAAAAAAGCUGCUCAUUGCCCAUGUUUGUCUCCCAAUUAGCUACAAACAGACAAUAAGGUCAACUAACAAUGCACAUAUUCAUUGAGUUAAAAGCAUAGCCUGCAAAAUGAAUCAGAUGCCAAGAUUUCACUAUUCUUUAGUGCACUGAAGAUCAAUGGAAAACGCAAAUCAGCAAAGGCCCGCAAUCAUGGUAUUUCAUUCAAGUCUGUAGCAUUGUGAUCAGGUCUGCAGUUAUGGUAUUCCAUUCAAGUUUCUAGCAUUGAGAUCAUCGUCGUGUCUUCGUAACCAUCAUGAUGUACAGCCCCGGAGGUGUCAGCUGACAAUACCAGCAUCCAUUGGAAAUCUGCAACUAUGUAUCAGCACCUUGUCCACGUGCAUGCCUGUAAGACAACUAACUCAUGGUCUUCUUACCUGCUGUUCCUGAUCGUUCUUCCUUGGACUUCAGUUUGGAAUAUUGACGGCCUAACAAAUCAAAAGCAUUUCAAUCCAUCUCAUCAAUCAGCUUAUGUGCUAGCUCAGAGCGCCCAACCUUUUCAGGUCACUGAUCAGUGGACGGUGGAUAUAUAAAUCAAAGGCUGGUGUAACUUACACGCACUUGGACUCGGGCAUCGCCU
rnacentral:lncRNA from 1 species